rnacentral:lncRNA from 1 species
UGUUUUUUUUUCUGUAACGGUUCACAAAAAAACCUAGACUUAGAAAAGAACGAGGAGGCGGGGCGGCUCACAGAGGGCAACUGCGGCGGCGGCGGCGUUGGCCGGACCUCGGCGUCGACGGGGCGGCGGUUCCGGCGGCCUUCGACGGCAGCGAAGUGGACGGAGGGGUGCGGCGUGGCACGGGCAUCACAGUGGUGGUGGCGGGGAUCCCCCGGGUGUCCGGAUGGGCGGUGCGAGGACGAUGGAACUCCGUGCUCCAGCGGGGCUCUCCGUCGGUGGGGUGGCAGCGGCGGCGGUCCUCAGCUGCAGGGAAGGCGACGGGGAGGACGGGAACAUCGCAGGCAUCCUGACGGCGGUGGUUGCGGUCGUCAGGGCGACAGGGUAGAGCAGACGGAGGCGGCGGCGCUGUGGUGCUCCGGCGAGAUGCAAACAGAUGGGGCGGGGUCUGUGAGCGGUGUGGGGGGCAGCGAGAUGGCAAGAUCGAAUGAGGAGCCUCGGGGGCUUUUAUAGGUGCACGCAGGGGCUGCGAAGGCUGCACGAUAAGCUCUAUCGCGAGAGCUUCGCCCGGCGGGUGCGGGAGCGCGGGCGGCGAGCUCCAUCCGAGCGAGUUCAACGGGAGGUUAGGGACGAGUUGGGGAGUGGGCGAGCGAGGCGUAAGGCCCCGGGCGCUGCUGGGCCGGCUCGGUGCGCUGGCUGGCUCUUGGGCCGAAGACCAUGGGCCGGCUGGUGGGCGUGUGUGUGUGUGUUUUUUUUGUUUUUUCAGAAAGGAGACUCCAACAGAAGUAAAUUGAAUAAAAAAUAUACAUAGGCAUAUCAUAUACCAAAAUGUUCAGAAAAAUACCCCGAAUAAGAUGAACUAUUUUUCAAGUUCAACUAAAUUCCAAAAAAAUCAUAAAAGUCAAAUAGUGCUACUGUUGCAUUUAAAAUCAAUAAAAAUCAUUCUUUAAAUAGCAAAAUGAUUUCAAAUUUAUUUUCUCCUAAUUUUCCAUUGAAGGGAAUCAUUUUACCCUUAUUUCCAUUUAUUUAUUUUUAGGAGAAAAUAUUUUGAAUUGAAACUCAAAUAACUCCCAAUUGGUUUGAAUUUGGAAUUUCAAACAACUUCAAAUGGAAAAUGAGUUUCAAAUAACUUCAAAGUGACUUCCAAUUUAUUUCUUUGAAACUUCAAAAGGAAAUUCAAAUCAUUUUUGAACCCCUUUUCAUUUCUUUAAAUGGAAGAAGUCAUAUUAUCUUCACUCUAGGGUUUUGUAAUGAAAUGAAUUUUGAAUUCAGGGAGAUCAAAAUGCAAGAUGAAAAUUUUGGGAAAGUCCUUUUAUUCCCUCUCAUUCAACUUUCAAAAAGUUUCAAUUUCCAAUCAUUUUCACACAAUGAAUCACACAACAAUCAAACAAACAAUCAUAAUAAUUUAUUUAAUAAACAUUCCAAAAUUUAGAAUUUUGGGAUGUUACACAUCACCAUGAUCUUGCGUGUGCGUAGGAAUUUUUUUGAAAUUACUAUGUUCCCAACAGUGGUAUCAGAGCCAGGUUUAUGCGUUGAUGUUAUAUGCACGAGUGGAACACAAGUGAGUUGUGGGCGAUACAAGUCAUACUGCUUACCAGCAUGUCAUACUUUGGUUCGGCGGUAUUGUUGGAUGAAGUGGCGCGGACCGACAUUACGCAUACGCUUACACGAGAUUGGUUCUACCGACGUGCUUUGCACACAGGUGGCUGGUGGGUGUCAGUUUCUCCAUCUUUAGUUGAACCGAGUAUGGCUACGCCCGGUCCUUGUGAAGGUUAAAACAACACUAACUUGACGAACUAUCAUUGUGGUUUUGAUGCGUAGGUAAGAACGGUUCUUGCUCAGCCCGUAGCAGCCACGUAAAACUUGCAACAACAAAGUAGAGGACGUCUAACUUGUUUUUGCAGGGUAUGUUGUGAUGUGAUAUGGUCAAGACAUGAUGCUAUAUUUAUUGUAUGAGAUGAUCAUGUUUUGUAACGGAGUUAUCGACAACUGGCAGGAGCCAUAUGGUUGUCGCUUUAUUUUAUGGAAUGCAAUCGCCCUGUAAUUGCUUUACUUUAUCACUAAGCGGUAGCGAUAGUCAUAAAGCAAAUAGUUGGCGAGACGACAACGAUGCUACGAUGGAGAUCAAAGGUGUCACGCCGGUGACGAUGGUGAUCAUGACGGUGCUUUGGAGAUGGAGAUCAAAGGCACAAGAUGAUGAUGGCCAUAUCAUAUCACUUAUAUUGAUUGCAUGUGAUGUUUAUCCUUUAUGCAACUUAUUUUGCUUUGUUUGACGGUAGCAUUAUAAGAUGAUCUCUCACUAAAUUUCAAGGUAAAAGUGUUCUCCCUGAGUAUGCACCGUUGCCAAAGUUCGUCGUGCCAAGACACCACGUCAUGAUCGGGUGUGAUAAGCUCAACGUUCAUCUACAACGGGUGUAAGACAGUUUUGCACAUGCAGAAUACUCCGGUUAAACUUGACGAGCCUAGCAUAUGCAGAUAUGGCCUCGGAACACUGAGACCGAAAGGUCGAGCGUGAAUCAUAUAGUAGAUAUGAUCAACAUAGAGAUGUUCACCAUUGAAAACUACUGCAUCUCACGUGAUGAUCGGUUAUGGUUUAGUUGAUAUGGAUCACGUGAUCACUUAGAUGAUUAGAGGGAUGUCUAUCUAAGUGGGAGUUCUUAAGUAAUAUGAUUAACUGAACUUAAAUUUAUCAUGAACUUAGUACCUUAUAGUAUUUUGCUUGUCUAUGUUGUUGUAGAUAGAUGGCCCGUGUUGUUGUUCCGUUGAAUUUUAAUGCGUUCCUUGAGAAAGCAAAGUUUAAAGAUGAUGGUAGCAAUUACAUGGACUAGGUCCGUAACUUCAGGAUUAUCCUCAUUGUUGCAUAGAAGAAUUACAUCCUGGAAGCACCACUAGGUGCCAGGCCUGCUGCAGAUGCUGCUAAUGACGUUAAGAACGUCUGGCAGCGUAAAGCUGAUGACUACUCGAUAGUUCAGUGUGCCAUGCUUUACGGCUUAGAACCGGGACUUCAACGACGUUUUGAACGUCAUGGAGCAUAUGAGAUGUUCCAGGAGUUGAAGUUAAUAUUUCAAGCAAAUGCCCGUAUUGAGAGAUAUGAAGUCUCCAAUAAGUUCUAUAGCUGCAAGAUGGAGGAGAAUAAUUCUGUCAGUGAACAUAUACUCAGAAUGUCUGGGUAUCAUAACCACUUGACUCGACUGGGAGUUAAUAUUCCUGUUGAUAGUGUCAUUGACAGAGUUCUUCAAUCACUGCCACCAAGCUACAAGAGCUUUGUGAUGAACUAUAAUAUGCAAGGGAUGAAUAAGACAAUUCGCGAGCUCUUCACAAUGCUAAAGGCAGCGGAGGUAGAAAUCAAGAAGGAGCAUCAAGUUUUGAUGGUCAACAAGACCACCAGUUUCAAGAAAAAGGGUAAAGGGAAGAAGAAGGGAACUUCAAGAAGAACGAUAAACAAGUUGCUGCUCAGGAGAAGAAACCCAAGUCCGGACCUAAGCCUGAGACUGAGUGCUUCUACUGCAAAUAGACUGGUCACUAGAACGGAACUGCCCCAAAUAUUUGGCGGAUAAGAAGGAUGGCAAGGUGAACAAAGGUAUAUGUGAUAUACAUGUUAUUGAUGUGUACCUUACCAGAGCUCGCAGUAGCACCUGGGUGUUUGAUACUGGUUCUGUUGCUAAUAUUUGCAACUCCAAACAGGGACUACGGAUCAAGCAAAGACUGGCUAAGGACGAGGUGACGAUACACGUGGGAAAUGGUUCCAAAGUCGAUGUGAUCGCCGUCGGCACGCUACCUCUAAAUCUACCUUCGGGAUUAGUUUUAGACCUGAAUAAUUGUUAUUUUGUGCCAGCGUUAAGCAUGAACAUUAUAUCUGGAUCUUGUUCGAUGCGAGAUGGUUAUUCAUUUAAAUAUGAGAAUAAUGGUUGUUCUAUUUAUAUGAGUAAUAUCUUUUAUGGUCAUGCACCCUUGAAGAGUGGUCUAUUUGUGUUGAAUCUCGAUAGUAGUGAUACACAUAUUCAUAAUGUUGAAGCCAAAAGAUGCAGAGUUGAUAAUGAUAGUGCAACUUAUUUGUGGCACUGUCAUUUGGGUCAUAUUGGUAUAAAGCGCAUGAAGAAACUCCAUACUGAUGGACUUUUGGAAUCACUUGAUAUGAAUCACAUGGUACUUGCAAACCAUGCCUCAUGGGAAAGAUGACUAAACGUCGUUCUUCGGAACAAUGGAGUGAGCAACAGAUUUAUUGGAAAUCAUACAUACUGAUGUAUCUGGUCCGAUGAAUAUUGAGGCUCGUGGCGGGUAUCGUUAUUUUCUCACCUUCCCAGAUGAUUUGAGCAGAUAUGGGUAUAUCUACUUAAUGAAACAUAAGUCUGAAACAUUUGAAAAGUUCAAAGAAUUUCAGAGUGAAGUGGAAAAUCAUCGUAACAAGAAAAUAAAGUUUCUACGAUUUGAUCGUGGAGGAGAAUAUUUGAGUUAUGAGUUUGGUCUACAUUUGAAACAAUGCGGAAUAGUUUCGCAACUCACGCCACCCGGAACACCACAGCGUAAUGGUGCAUCCGAACGUCGAAUCAUACUUUACUAGAUAUGGUGCGAUCUAUGAUGUCUCUUACUGAUUUAACGCUAUCGUUUUGGGGUUAUGCUUUAGAGACGGCUGCAUUCACGUUGAAUAGGGCACCAUCAAAAUCCGUUGAGACGACGCCUUAUGAAGUAUGGUUUGGCAAGAAACCAAAGUUGUCGUUUCUUAAUGUUUGGGCUGCAAGGCUUAUGUGAAAAAGCUUCAACCUGAUAAGCUCGAACCCAAAUAGGAGAAAUGUGUCUCAAUAGGAUACCCAAAGGAAACUGUUGGGUACACCUUCUAUCACAGAUCCGAAGGCAAGACAUUCGUUGCUAAGAAUGGAUCCUUUCAAGAGAAGGAGUUUCUCUCAAAAGAAGUGAGUGGGAGGAAAGUAGAACUUGAUGAAGUAACUGUACCUGCUCCAUUAUUGGAAAGUAGUUCAUCACAAAAACCGGUUCCUCUGACACCUACACCAAUUAGUGAGGAAGCGAAUGAUGUUGAUCAUGAAACUUCAGAUCAAGUUACUACCGAACCUCGUAGGUCAACCAGAGUAAGAUCCGCACCAGAGUGGUACGGUAAUCCUGUUCUGGAGGUCAUGUUACUUGACCAAGGUGAACCUACGAACUAUGAAGAAGUGAUGGUGAGCCCAGAUUCUGCAAAAUGGCUUGAAGCCAUGAAAUCUAAGAUGGGAUCCAUGUAUGAGAACAAAGUAUGGACUUUGGUUGACUUGCCCGAUGAUCGGCAAGCCAUAGAGAAUAAAUGGAUCUUCAAGAAGAAUACUGACGCUGAUGGUAAUGUUACUGUCUACAAAGCUCGACUUGUUGCGAAAGGUUUUCGACAAGUUCAAGGGGUUGACUAUGAUGAGACUUUCUCACCUGUAGCGAUGCUUAAGUCUGUCCGAAUCAUGUUAGCAAUUGCCGCAUUUUAUGAUUAUGAAAUUUGGCAAAUGGAUGUCAAAACUGCAUUCCUGAAUGGAUUUCUCGAAGAAGAGUUGUAUAUGAUGCAACCAGAAGGUUUUGUCGAUCCAAAGGGAGCUAACAAAGUGUGCAAGCUUCAGCGAUCCAUUUAUGGACUGGUGCAAUCCUCUCGGAGUUGGAAUAAAUGUUUUGAUAGUGUGAUCAAAGCAUAUGUGUCGGUGUUAAAACCGGCGGAUCUCGGGUAGGGGGUCCCGAACUAUGCGUCUAAGGCGGAUGGUAACAGGAGGCAGGGGACACGAUGUUUACCCAGGUUCGGGCCCUCUUGAUGGAGGUAAUACCCUAUGUCCUGCUUGAUUGUUCUUGAUGAUAUGAGUAUUACAAGAGUUGAUCUACCACGAGAUCGUAGAGGCUAAACCCUAGAAGAUAGCCUAUGGUAUGAUUGUAUGUUGUCCUACGGACUAAACCCUCCGGUUUAUAUAGACUCCGGAGGGGGCUAGGGUUACACAGAGUCUGUUACAAGGGAGGAGAUCUACAUAUCCGUAUUGCCUAGCUUGCCUUCCACACCAAGGAGAGUCCCAUCCGGACACGAGACGAAGUCUUCAAUCUUGUAUCUUCAUAGUCCAACAGUCCGGCCAAAGGAUAUAGUCCGGCUGUUUGGAGACCCCCUAAUCCAGGACUCCCUCAGUAGCCCCUGAACCAGGCUUCAAUGACGAUGAGUCCGACGCGCAGUAUUGUCUUCGGCAUUGCAAGGUGGGUUCCUCCUCCGAAUACUCCAUAGAAGAUUUUAAACACAAGGAUAGUGUCUGACUCUGCAAAACAAGUUCCACAUACCACCGUAGAGAGAAUAAUAUUUCCACAAAUCUAAUUUGCUGACACGUUUUGAUAGCAUGACAUCACGCCAUGGCCCGGUCAUUAUUCGAACCGUUUUUCUCAACCAGCACCGCACAUAUCGCGAGGCAGUUUUCUUGACACGCCUUGUCAAAGUAGAGAUCGUGUUCCCCUUAUUACGAGAUUCUCAUCAAUACGAAUGUGGGUAACCCAACCAUGCCCAUUUGCAUGACUCCUUGAUUUUAGGCGAGUCCAAAACAGCUGUGAGGAGGAUGCUUGACAUUCACCCUCUUUAUAAAGAGGCCAAGACCUCUCCCUUUUUCCUCUCGCGCUCAAUCGAAUCCUUCCCCCGCCUCGAGUUCCAACACCCCAGGCUCAGGUCAGGCACUUCGGACCUUCAACCAUGUCCGGAUCCAACCUCCAAGGUCGGUGGAUGCCUUCCUCUGUCACAGAGGAGGACAUCAGGAAGCUGAGAGAGGCCAGAUACCUGACCGCCGAAAUUUCGCAUAGGCUGCCCGCCCGAGGGCAGGUCAUCCCCACUCCCGAGCCCAACAAGAGUGUUGUGUUCGUCUCUCACCUCCUCCGAGGACUAGGCCUCGCUCUGGAUCCCUUUGUUAGGGGGCUCAUGUUCUAUUAUGGGCUAGAUUUCCACGAUAUGGCCCCGGAUUCCCUCCUUCACAUCUCGUGGUUUAUCGUCGUAUGUGAGGCCUUCCUUCACAUUACCCCUCACUUAGGCCUGUGUCUCAAGACCUUCAAUGUGAAGCCGAAGAUGAUCGAGGCGCGGCACGCAGAGUGCGGAGGUGCCGUAAUAAGCAAAAGCCCUGAUGGUCCAUGGCCAGAGGAUUCCUUCCCAGAGGUGUCCAGUUUGUGGCAGCGGGAGUGGUUUUAUAUCAUAGCUCCCCAGAGUGCCAAGUGGGUAGCCGCCCCUGCCUUCCGCUCGGGCCCCCCACCACAACUGACGUCAUGGAUCAGCGAGGGGCUAAACUGGGGUCCAGUAAAAGAUGUGCCGGUAUUGCAGAGUCGCAUCCGAGAUCUCAUUGAGAGAGACGUCAACCUGGUCACAGUGAUGCAAGUCAUGCUAGUUCGCUAGGUCCCACCUUGCAAACGUAGACCUCUUCGUUUGUGGGAGUUCAACCCGGAGGGACCGCGAAUCAUUCAGCACUUCCUUGGCAUGACGCUCGAGGAGAUGUACAAGUUGUUCUUCGGACCACAAAUAAAGUGUCCGGACACCACCGAGGAUGUGGGUCUAAGCUGUAAUCGCCCGGAUACCCAAGUAAGUAAUCCUAUGGCCGAACACACUGUUUCUCUUAUUUAUCAUAACAUCAUUCUGAAAAGUUGCUCUUUGACCAGGACUGGAUAACAAAGGCGAAGAUGAUCAGGUGUCCGGCCCCCCUUCCCGAGGGCUUGGCCAAUCUGGUACUAGACAGAAUGCUGGAGCCGGCGCCUUAUCAGGCGCCCUCGAAGGAAUAUAAAGGGGGAAUAAAGAGGCCCAAAGCGAGCCUCACUCACUACUCGUCCCAACCGGGGGAAUGAGUGCCUCCGCGAAGCAGGAUAACCAGGGACAAGAAUCUGGCAUUCCCUCUCCCCGAGGAAGGAAGAGGACCACCUCUGAAGAUCCGGAAAUAGAGGUUUCCAAAUGAGGGAAGAAAUCUUCGCCAGAGGGUCCUGCCCCGGGGGGUACCCUUGCCGCACAGUGUCCGCAAGGGAAUCAGCCCUCUACCGAGCUGUGAGUAAUCAAAAAGUACUUAGUAGUGAAAAUAUCCUACCUUACUUCUGAAUACAAUAACCGAAGCUUAUAUCUUGUAGUUCGGAUCGUAGCCCUUCUCGACAGAGUACGUCUUCGGGGGAUCUUCUUCCGGAGAUGAUGGAGAGCGAAACACCUCCCCCUGCCACCCCGCCUCAUGAGGCGGGCGACCCUGAAGUGUCGUCGCGAAGGGUUUCUCCCGAUCCGCCCAGGCCAGGGGGUACUCCCCUGGCCACCCAGAAUCCUCAGUAUUAGGCUCCUAAAGAGAGCAACAGAAAGAGUCUGGAACCGUACAGUGUGCGGUCGGACGCACUGAAGGAUCUUCUGGAGCAAGCGGCCAUCUCAGAAGCGCAUCAUACGCUAACGAGUACGGUAGUUGAAAGGAUUUCAUCCGCUGAAAGCGGAUUGCAUGAAGCUUUUAUGAGUCUGUUGAAAGGCUUUGAGGUACGUGACAUAGUGUAUGUUUUUGAUAGUACCGCACACUUUAGGUGUGCCCUAUGCAGAUAGUAGCCCCUGAGACUCUGGUUGUCGUCAAAAACGGCGGUGAACAAAGGAUCAUAGUCCCAGGUAAUAACCAGGCCGCCUUUAUGUGCUGGUGGCUGAAGCUCCGGUGACUAGCCGGACUGAUGGGUUUGCCAAGCUAAAGCGGCAAUUUGAUGCGGCCGAUGCCGACAUCGUGCUUGUCAACAACCGGCUUGACGAGACACAGGGUAAGUGAUUUCUCCGGUGAUCAACACAUAGUAAGAGGAGCAUGAUGCCAGUGUCUAUAAUAUGUUGUGACUGCAGAUGGAGCUGCCACCGUGGAGACCCUUCGGGCAGAACUUGCCCGAGCCAAGGAGCAAUCCAGAAAUAGCGAUGCGGCCGCCCUAAAGGCGGUCGAAGAGCUGACGGCUGAACAGGCCGCACAUUGCCGGAGCAAGGAAAGAAUGGCCAAGAUGGUCGUUGAGUUGAAAGAUGCCGCCAACCGUUACCAGCUUCUUGAAGAAGAAAACCGUGCGAAGGCGAUGGACCUGGAGAAGGCCAUGGUAGCAUCCAAGGAAGCCCGUUCCAAAAUACGAGUGGCGAAGGAGGAGCUGCAUCAAGCUGGAGAUAUCGCAACUGGGAAGCCCUUUUUGUUGCGGACUAAGUUCGGAGAUCCGAAGUAUGCACCUCUUGAUCAACUAUGGAGUUCUGCGAAUGCCUACGUGGAUUUGGCGGCAAGUGCUGAUGAUGCAGUCGAGUACUUCAAGGAUCAAAAAGAUCGCGAAGUGGAAAAGCUAUUCUGGUCACAGUUCCAUGCUCCAGUGCGUCCGCUGCUGUUGAAUGAGAAAUUGUCGAGUGGGCCAAGCUCCAUAGGUUGUCUAGACUUGCCAUGAGGUCUGUUGUGGAUCAUCUGUGGCCGGGAGGGCCAAGGCCGAAUAGUUACUUUAGUUUAGUGCAACAAUUCCUUGGUGAUGUGCCGCAUAUCGAUGCUAUGAAGAGGUCGGCGUGCAUAGAGGCUGCACGGAUGGCCUUUGCCCGUGUCAAGACAUACUGGGCGGAGAUGGAGGCCACCACUGUUGCAACACAGGGUUCGUCCGUGGGCCGAGUGGCUGCCGAGCACUACUUUAAAGAAGUUCUUGAAGGCGCUCGUUCGAUAGAGGCUCAGUGCUCGAAGAAUAUUAUGUUCUAGUGACAUGUACUCCCAUUGUAAAAACAAUGUUUUAUUGAGCCAUCAAGGCUAUGUUUAUACUUUUGCCUGAAAGUAUUAUGAUGCGUCCUGUGCGGUUGUUCAUGUAGAUAUGUAUAUAAUCUGAAAGUUUGUAGUCGUCGGCUUCCGCCCCCACACAUAUAAUGUGGGGGUGUCCGCGAAAAACACGUAUUCACACUUGAUCCAACGUCUUGGUCCAUUAAGGAGGUGCUAGCGCAACAAACGAGGCAAUCGGACUAUAUUGCUUUAACACUAUCACUUAGCCAUAGGAGUUUGACGGUGGGGCUACUAUAUAGCCCCUGGUACAUCUGCGCUCGUCCGAAUACGGGGCGCGUACGUACAUGACCGGGAAACGGUCCUUCGUUAAUGCGGAGGAAUCCUGAAGAUUCCGUUGAGUCAUGGAGUGGCUGACCAGCCUCGUGCUUUAUCAUGAUAGUCAGUUUUCGGCUUUCUCUACUGAGGUGCUCAUCCGAAUGAACCAGGGCACAAUUGCAGUAGUUCUCCCAGUGCUACAUUAGCCGAUAUAGCAGAACGUAAGGUACCAAAACGUGGGAGCCAGGGAAACCCAACAUUUGACCAAAGACAUGAUUCAGAGCUGAUGCAUAUAAGGCCAAACUCGCGACGCCGAACACCCCCUAAGGUAUUCGGUCUUUAUAACAUAUGCCGGGCUGAACGAGGCCCUUAAUAAUAAACUCCGGGUGUCCAGGUACGUGCAAUAUCCUGACGUGGCCACAUGCCAAUACGUCGGCAUCCUUCUCGGUUGUAUUGAGUAUCCGGAGGAUGUGAACAACAAGAGAUAGUAAAAAAAGGUUUACGCAGGGUCUUAAUCUAAAAAGAAACCUUCGAGCGGGUUCCUGCUGCACGUCUGCGCCCGUGUCUCCGUUGUGCCGUGUCCUGGACGGGUGUAGCAUGAUUGUCAUCUGUAAAAGAGAAGAACUUAGGUGAAAGUUGUCGUGCCAGAAAAUUGGUUAUUAUCAAUAAACCAUUAAAAUUCAAGAUAAGUCAAGUUGAGCCGGACUAGCCCUGAUUACACGCGGGAAGCCCCUGGUACCGUCUAGGAGGGUUUGAUCAUCAAACCAGUCUCAUGUAUAUGUAGUGGUGCACCGGACUCGUCUAACCGUGUCCCUGGUCUUGACGACCUGUCACUUUUUUUGGUUGGUGAGGCCGUCUAGUGCUCGGCGGCUAAAGCCGCCGCACAUUCUUCCGCGCGUAGAGAAUGCUCAGUGUUUCCGCUAACUGUGAUGGUGCCACGUGGACCGGACAUCUUAAGAUUGCGAGAAGCGUAAUGCGGUAUUGCAUUAAAACGAGCGAAAGCUGCUCUUCCGAGUAGUGCCUGAUAGCCACUUCGGAAUGGAGCGAUGUAGAAAGUUAACCUUUCACUUCAGAAGUUGUCGGAAGAACCGAAUACAACCUAUACUAAUAGAGAGCCCGUGCAGCGGGCCUCUAGGCCUGGUAUUACUCCCUUGAAGGUAGCAGUACGGUGGCUUAUUUUUGUCGGGUCUAUCCCCAUUUUGCGGACUGUGUCCUGAUAUAUCAGAUUUAGACCACUGCCACCGUCCAUGAGGACUCGUGUGAGAUGGUAUCCGUUUAUUAUUGGGUCUAACACCAAGGCAGCCAAUCCUUCGUGUCAGAUGCUUAUCGCGUGAUCCCCGGGAUCAAAAGUUAUCGGGCAGGCCAACCAGGGGUUAAACCUAGGGGUGACGGGCUCUAUGGCGCGUGUGUCUCGGAGUGCAUGUUUGCUUCUCCUCUUCGUCACAUGGAUCAUGUUGACUGUUUUAACCUCUGGUGGGAAUUUUUUCUGUCCUCCAGUGCUUUGCUGGCGAGGCUCGUCCUCGUCUUCGUUUGGUGUCUCCCCCCCCUUGUGUUCGGCGUUUAGCUUACCGGCCUGCUUGAAGACCCAGCAUUCUCUGUGGGUGUGAUUUGCAGGUUAUGGGGGGUGCCAUGAAUCUAACAUAGUUUGUCAAGAAUCUUGUUUAGGCCAGACGGUCCGUCUCUGCUGCCUUUGAAAGGCUUUUUCCGCUGACCUGGUCGAGAGCCCCUGAAUCCGGCGUUUACCGCCGUAUUAUCUGGGCUAUCUUCUUUAUUUCAACGCUUGCUUUUAUUGCGUCGUGGUUUACCAUUGCCAUCACUGACUUUGGAUGUGCUUGGGUCGUUGGUGCUACUGCGAGCUAACCAGCUGUCUUCGCCCGUGCAGAAGCGGGUCAUGAGACUUGUUAGAGCUGCCAUUGUUCUCGAUUUUUCUUGGCCAAGGUGUCUGGCGAGCCAUUCGUCUCGGACGCUGUGUUUGAGAGCUACUAAGGCUUCGGCGUCCGGACAGUCGACAAUUUGGUUCUUCUUGGUGAGAAACCUGUUCCAAAGCUUUCGGGCGGACUCUCCGGACUGUUGGAUUAUAUGACUUAAAUCGUAUGCAUCCGGAGGUCGGACGUAGGUCCCUUGAAAAUUAGCCCGAAAAGUGUCCUCGAGCUCCUCCCAACUUCCAAUUGAGUUUUCGGGGAGGCUUUUCAGCUAGUGACGAGCUGGUCCUUUAAGCUUGAGGGGCAAUUAUUUAAUGGCAUGGAGAUCGUGUCCGCGAGCCUUAUGGAUAUGGAGGAUAAAGUACUCAAUCCAGACCCCAGGGUAUGUGGUCCCGUCGUACGCCUCUAUGUUCACUGGUUUGAAUCCUUCUGGGAAUUCGUGGUCCAACACCUCAUCGAUGAAACAUAGGGGAUGUGCGGCACCCCUGUACUUGGAUGUACCAUGGCGUUCGGACGGUUGUGGUAUUUGGUUUUGAUUUUGUGCCGGAGUACGCUUCCUAGAUCCAUAGAUGGAUCUGGUCGUACCGGAUUUUUGGUGCAAGUCCUCACGUACAUCGUGUGUUGACUUAUGUGCAUAUUUGUUAUCCGCUCUAUCGCGGUCACAAGGUGGUGGAUGCGGCCGGUCGGCCGUUUCAUUUGUUGGCUGUGUGGGCUCUAAGGCCUCGUCGUUGAAUUCAGGUAACUGUUUGCGCUUUGGAUAGCUCUUUGUGUGGUAACUUCCACCAUACUUUGCUUCGUUGUCGAGCACUUUGUUCCACCUACUGUUGAGUGUAUUUUGUGCGGCCUUAAGCCUUUGCUUCUGCUUCUUCAGACUCCUCGCUGUGGCAAUAAGCCUUCUGCGGAGGAUCUCUUGCUCCAAGUGCGUUUCCGAGAUGAUGUGUGCAUCUUCGUCCGGACUGUUUUCCUCCCCAGAGGGGGUUUGAUGAGGUUUAUACUCGGCGUCACCGUGUUCGGACGUUGGAUCCGUACUAUGUUCGCCUCUUGCAGCUUCAUCGUGCUCUGCCGCCGGGGCCAUAUGGUCGUCGUUUCUUCUGGAGUCGACUGGAGUGUUAUUUUCUCUUGCGCUGUUAUCGUUGUUUUUGCUAUGGCGGGACUUAGAGCGGCGCCGCUGACGUUGGCGCUUGGGUUGCUGCUUGGAGGGGCCAUCCUCCACUGUCUCUUUGACAUUGCCUUCUUUGGGUGUAUCCACCAUGUAUAUGUCAUGUGAUGAAGUGGCUGUCCGGCGCCCUGUGGGCGCUGGUUCCUGUUCGUCUCCUGCAUCUUCGUCCAUGUCGUCGAUGUCUUCGGAGUCGAAGUUGAGCAUGUCGGUUAAGUCGUCGACGGUGGCUACUAAGUGGUGGUGGGCAGGCAGCAAAUUUCUUCGUCGUCCGUAUCCCAUUCUAGCCAGGCAUAGUUCGGCGAAGGUUCUCCUGACAAGGAGAGAGACUUUAAUGAAUUUAGCACAUCACCGAAAGGCGAGUGCUGAAAGAUAUCCGCGAAGGUGAACUCCAUGAUUGGCGCCCAGUCGGAUUCGAUGGGCACGGAUGCAGGCGGCUCGGAGUCCGUGGCCGGAGACGAAUCCAGUGGUUUGGCGACACGGCUCUCGUAAGGGGUGAAGUCAGUAUCCAGCUCCAUCGCCACUGAGAGUGCGGCCUCCAUGGCAGGGUCUAUCCCUCCGUCCUUGGAUGCCACAAUUUGCUCCGCAUUGAUGGCCGGAGUAGUUGCAAAUGCAAUCUCCUGAACACUGUCCGACGAUAGAGUUACGUCCUGCUCGUCAUGGUUGUGCGGUGCACCUAACAUAGGCUCGAAUCCGUCGAAGAUCAAGUCUUCGCGGAUGUCGGCAGUGUAGUUUAAGUUUCCGAAUCUGACCUGACGGCCACGGGUGUAGCUUUUGAUCUGCUCCAGAUGGCCAAGCGAAUUGGCCCGUAGUGCGAAGUCGCCGAAUAUGAAGAUCUGUUCGGGGAGGAAAAUAUCACCUUGGACCGCAUCGUUACCGAUGAUCAAAGGAGCCAUCGAGCCUUAAAGUGACGGCAUAGUGGAACUCUCAAUGAAAGCACCAAUAUCGGUGUCAAACCGGCGGAUCUCAGGUAGGGGGUCCCGAACUGUGCGUCUAAGGCGGAUGGUAACAGGAGGCAGGGGACACGAUGUUUACCCAGGUUCGGGCCCUCUUGAUGGAGGUAAUACCCUACAUCCUGCUUGAUUGUUCUUGAUGAUAUGAAUAUUACAAGAGUUGAUCUACCACGAGAUCGUAGAGGCUAAACCCUAGAAGCUAGCCUAUGGUAUGAUUGUAUGUUGUCCUACGGACUAAACCCUCCGGUUUAUAUAGACAUCGGAGAGGGCUAGGGUUACACAGAGUCGGUUACAAGGGAGGAGAUCUACAUAUCCGUAUUGCCUAGCUUGCCUUCCACGCCAAGGAGAGUCCCAUCCGGACACGGGACGAAGUCUUCAAUCUUGUAUCUUCAUAGUCUAACAGUCCGGCCAAAGGAUAUAGUCCGACUGUCCGGAGACCCCCUAAUCCAGGACUCCCUCAAUAUGGUUUUAUACAGACUUUUGGAGAAGCAUGUAUUUACAUGAAAGUGAGUGGGAGCUCCGUAGCAUUUCUAAUAUUAUAGGUGGAUGACAUAUUGUUGAUUGGAAAUGAUGUAGAAUUUCUGGAUAGCAGAAAAGGAUACUUGAAUAAGAGUUUUUCAAUGAAAGACCUCAGUGAUGCUGCUUACACAUUCAAUCCAUAACAUCCCUUAUUCAACCAUAAUCAAGACUAAUUAGGAUUUCUAAAAAAAGAAAAAAAAGGUCCACUCAUAGGAAAACCCAACCUUUCCCUGCAUCCAGCACUAAUCUAUUUUUAACGUCUAAUUAGAGCGGGGAAUCAUUCCAAUUAGGAAGUUCAACUCAUUGCUUUUUUUACCAGAAUUGGAGCCAGGCUCUAUCCAUUUAUUCAUUAGACCCAGAAAAUCGUGAUUUUGGAUUCCAUUCAAAAAAGAUUGAUUUUAUUACGACAUGCUAUUUUUUCCAUUCAUUACCUUUGAGGAUCAGUCGUGAUAUUGGGCAUCAAGAUCUAUAGAGAUAUAUCAAGAUGCUUAAUUGGACUUUCACAAAGAACAUACCUUGACAAAGUUUUGAAAAAGUUCAAGAUGGAUCAAGCAAAGAAAGGGUUCUUGCCUAUGUUACAAGGUUUGAAGUUGAGUCGGACUCAAUGCCCGACCACUGCAGAAGAUAGAGAGAAAAUGAAAAGUGUUCCCUAUGCUUCAGCCAUAGGCUCUAUCAUGUAUGAAAUGCUGUGUACCAGACCUGAUGUGUGCCUUGCUAUUAGUUUAGCAGGGAGGUACCAAAGUAAUCCAGGAGUGGAUCACUGGACAGCGAUCAAGAACAUCCUGAAGUACCUAAAGAGGACUAAUGAUAUGUUUCUUGUUUAUGGAGGUGACAAAGAGCUCGUUGUAAAUGGUUACGUCGAUGCAAGCUUUGACACUGAUCCGGACGAUUCUAAAUUGCAAACCGGAUACGUGUUUAUAUUGAACGGUGGAGCUGUCAGUUGGUGCAGUUCUAAACAAAGCAUCGUGGCGGGAUCUACGUGUGAAGCGGAGUACAUAGCUGCUUCGAAAGCAACAAAUGAAGGGGUCUGGAUGAAGGAGUUCAUAUCCGAUCUAGGUGUCAUACCUAGUGCAUCGGGUACAAUGAAAAUCUUUUGUGACAAUACUGGUGCAAUUGCCUUGGCAAAGGAAUCCAGAUUUCACAAGAGAACCAAGCACAUAAAGAGACGCUUCAAUUCCAUCCGGGAUCCAGGUGGGAGACAUAGAUAUUUGCAAGAUACAUACGGAUCUGAAUGUUGCAGACCCGUUGACUAAGUAAGCCUCUUCCACGAGCAAAACAUGAUCAGCACCAAGACUCCAUGGGUGUUAGAAUCAUUACUAUGUAAUCUAGAUUAUUGACUCUAGUGCAAGUGGGAGACUGAAGGAAAUAUGCCCUAGAGCCAAAAUAAACUCAUUGCUUUAUUUCCUCAUAUCAUGAUAAAGGUUUGUUAUUAAUGCUAGAAUUGUAUUAACCAGAAACAUAACACAUGCGUGAAUACAUAGACAAACAUAGUGUCACUAGUAUGCCUCUACUUGACUAGCUCGUUGAUCAAAGAUGGUUGAGUUUCCUAGCCAUAGACAUGAGUUGUCAUUUGAUUAACGGGAUCACAUCAUUAGCAGAAUGAUGUAAUUGACUUGACCCAUUUUGUUAGCUUAGCACUUGAUCAUUUUAGUUUACUGCUAUUGCUUUCUUCAUGAUGUAUACAUGUUCCUAUAACUAUGAGAUUAUGCAACUCCCGAUUACCGGAGGAACACUUUGUGUGCUACCAAACGUCAUAACGUAACUGGGUGAUUAUAAAGGUGCUCUACAGGUGUCUCCGAUGGUACUUGUUGAGUUGGCAUAGAUCGAGAUUAGGAUUUGUCACUCCGAUUGUCGGAGAGGUAUCUCUAGGCCCUCACGGUAAUGCACAUCACUAUAAGCCUUGCAAGCAAUGCAACUAAUUAGUUAGUUGCGGGAUAGUGCAUUACGGAACGAGUAAAGAGACUUGCUGGUAACAAGAUUGAACUAGGUAUUGGGAUACCGACGAUCGAAUCUCAGGCAAGUAACAUACCGAUGACAAAAGGAACAACGUAUGUUGUUAUGCGGUUUGACUGAUAAAUAUCUUCGUAGAAUAUGUAGGAACUAAUAUGAGCAUCCAGGUUCCGCUAUUGGUUAUUGACCGAAGAUGUGUCUCGGUCAUGUCUACAUAGUUCUCGAACACAUAGGGUCCGCACACUUAAAGUUCUGUGACGAUCGGUAUUAUGAGUUUAUAUGGUUUGAUGUACUGAAGGUAGUUUGGAGUCCUGGAUAUGAUCACGGACAUGACGAGGAGUCUUGAAAUGGUUGAGACAUGAAGAUUGAUAUAUUGGAAGCCUACAUUUGGACAUCGAAAGAGUUCCAGGUGAAAUCGGGAUUUUACCGGAGUGCCGGAGGGGUUACCGGAACCCCUCGGGGGUUAAUGGGCCUUGUUGGGCCCUAGUGGAGAGAGAGAGGGGCCGGCCAGGGCAGGCCGCGUGCCCCCUCCCCCUCUGGUCAGAAUUGGACUAGGAAGGAAGGGGCGGCGCCCCCUUUCCUUCUCCUUCUCCCCCUUCCUUUCCCCCUCCUAGUAGGAGCAGGAAAGAGGGGAGUCCUACUCCUACUAGGAGGAGGACUCCUCCUCCUGGCGCGCUCUACAGGGCCGGUCGGACUCCCCCCUUUCUACUUUAUAUACAGGGGUAGGGGGCACCCUAGGACACACAAGUUGACCAUUGAUCUCUCCCAACCGCGUGCGGUGCCCCCCUCCACCAUAAUCCACCUCGGUCAUACUGUAGCGGUGCUUAGGCGAAGCCCUGCGACGGUAGCUUCAUCAACAUCAUCACCACGGCAUUGUGCUGACUAAACUCUCCUUCGAGCUCUACUGGAUCAUGAGUUCGCAGGACGUCACCGAGCUGAAUGUGUGCUGAACGCGAAAGUGUUGUACGUUCGGUACUGAGGAUUGGUCGAUCAUGAAGACGUACGACUACAUCAACCGCGUUGUCAUAACGCUUCCUCUUAACGGUCUACGAGGAUACGUGGACGACACUCUCCCCUCUCGUUGCUAUGCAUCACCAUGAUUUUGCGUGUGCGUAGGAAUUUUUUUGAAAUUACUAUGUUCCCCAACAGAUGAUGGCCCCGGUGGCGUUCCGGCGCCACCGGGAGAGAGGGGGAGAUAUCCCCCCUCCUUCUUCUUCUUCCUUGACCUCCCCCUAGAUGGGAGAAGGGUUUCCCCUCUAGCCCCUGGCCUCCAUGGUGGUGGAGGGGCAAGAGCCCCUCCGAGAUUGGAUCUCUCUCCGUUUCCUUCUGUUUCUAUGUUCCUGUUUUCUGGCCUUUCACCGUUUAUUAAAUUUCAGGAGAUCCGUAACUCCAAUUGGGCUGAAAUUUUAACAUGAUUUUUACCAAAAUAUUAUCUUUCUUGCGGCCGAAGAAGGGCACCAACCACCUUACUGGGUGGCCACAAGCCUCCUGGUCAUGCCCUGGUAGGGGGGCACGCCUCAAGGGCUUGUGGGCCCCUCGGGCCUCGUCUCGUGUUGAUUCCAAAUCCCAAAAAUCACAUAUAUUCCAAAAAAUCUUUGUAAGUUUUUAUCGGGUUUGGUCCCCAUUUGGUAUGGAUAUUCUGCGAAACAAAAAAACAUGCAACAAACAGGAACUGGCACUGGGCACUGGAUCAAUAUGUUAGUCCCAAAAAUAGUAUGAAAAUUUGCCAAAAGUAUAUGAAAAUUGUAGAAUAUUAGCAUGAAACAAUCAAAAAUUAUAGAUACGACGGAGGCGUAUCAAUGUUCUCUCAAUAUUCCCCGCCAAGAUUGCCACCUUCCCAAGUCGUUACCCAGGGUUGCCCUGCACUUUCGUCGGCUACGGAGGGUUGACCUUCAACCCCUCAUCGACAAGAUUGUGGGGCAUUUGCCUGGUUGGAAAGCAAAGCUCGUGAAUAUGCCGAGAAGGGUCUCCCUUACGCAAUCUAUUCUCACUACCAUGGCAACUUUGCACAUAUCUACUCUCAACCUAUCCAAGUGGAUCCUGCAGAAGAUUGAUAAAAUCAAACGUUCCUUUGACUGGCAAAAGGAGGACCAAGAACAGACAUCAGGUGCACACUCCCUGGUUAAUUGGAAUAUUACCUAUCGUCUGAGCCACUAGGGUGGCCUUGAACCACGGACCUCGAAAGAUUUGACCGCACUCUUCGUCUCUGUUGGCCUUGGUCGCAAUGGACGGACCCUGAGAGGCCAUGGGUGGGUUGAAAGCACAAGUGCUCCCUGGGUGAUUUUGGUAAUUAAUGUCAACAUAUCUCUUGUUGGACUAAUGUUUUCAUCUAGUAUGCUUCAAAUAAGUUCAACAAUGGAGUGGCAUGUACUAGAGAAUGUGGAACCCUUUUCAAGAUGAUAAGGACAAAGGAUUGGCUCAAGCUCAAAGCUCAGGACUCUACAUUUUUCAUUUUAGUGAUCCAAGGUCACAUUGAGUCCAUAGGAAAGCCAAUAAUAUUAAGAGGGGAUGAGGUGUUGCUUAAUGGCUUGCUUGCUCAUAGUGCUUAGUGAUAUGCUCCACAUCCCUCAACCACUUUCUCAAAUCCACAUAUGUCCCAAACCAAAAAUCAAACUCGUCCCUACCGACAUUUUCUAUCCGGCGCCACCGAGUUCACUUGACAUAACCACCGCUAGAAACCCUAGUCACUUCGGUCUCACCGAUGGGGAUCUCAGUCUCACCGAAAUGGGAUUGCAAACUCUAUGUUUCCAUUCGUAACGUUUCGGUCCAACCAAGAUGAGCGAUCGGUCCCACUGAGAUUGCAAUGCAAACUCUCUGUUUCCCCUUCGUAAUGUUUCGGUCUAACCAAGAUGAGUGAAUCGGUCCCACCGAUUUUUCCUGACCAACUCUCUCUUUGCCUAUUACCAAAAUCGGUCCCACCGAAUUUGUGUAAUCGGUCUCACCGAGAUUACGUUAUGCCCUAACCCUAAUGGAAUCGGUCCCACUGAGUUGACAGGUCAGUCCCACCGAAAACCCUAAUGGUCACAUUAUGAACCAAAUCGGUCCGACCAAGUUUUAUGAUUCGGUCCCACCGAGUUUGGUGAUUUGUGUGUAACGGUUAGAUUUUGUGUGGAGGCUAUAUAUACCCCUCCACCCACUCUUAAUUCAUGGAGAGAUCCAUCAGAAUAUGCCUACACUUCCAACAUACAUUUUCUGAGAGAGAACCACCUACACUUGUGUUGAGGUCAAGAUAUUCCAUUCCAACCACAUAAAUCUUGAUCUCUAGCCUUCCCCAAGUUGCUUUCAACUCAAGUCAUCUUUCUACCAAAUCCAAUCCUAUGAGAGAGAGUUGAGUGUUGGGGAGACUAUCAUUUUAAGCACAAGAGCAAGGAGUUCAUCAUCAACACACCAUCUAUUACCUUUUGGAGAGUGGUGUCUCCUAGAUUGGUUAGGUGUCACUUGGGAGCCUCUAUCAAGAUUGUGGAGUUGAACCAAGGAGUUUGUACGGGCAAGGAGACCGCCUACUUCAUGAAGAUCUACCCUAGUGAGGUAAGUCCUUCAUGGGUGAUGGCCAUGGUGGGAUAGACAAGGUUGCUUCUUCGUGGAACCUUCAUGGGUGGAGCCCUCUAUGGACUCGCGCAACUGUUACCCUUCGUGGGUUGAAGUCUCCAUCAACGUGGAUGUAUGAUAACACCACCUAUCGGAACCAUGCCAAAAAUCUCCGUGUCUCCAAUUGCGUUUGCACACUCCAAUCACAUCCCUUUACAUUCUUGCAACUUGCAUGAUUUACUUUCCGCUGCUCAUAUACUAUUUAUCAUGCUUGCUUGAUAUGUAUUGUGAAUGUUUGAAGUUGUGCCAAAACUCCACUUCAACUUAAAGAAAUUAAAAACUGCAACUUUUCUUGCUAAGAGUCUAUUCACCGCCCCUGUAUACACCUCUUCUCGAUCCUUUCAAUUGAUAUCAGAGCUUUGGUCUCCAUUGCUUUGGUUUAAACAUAUUUGGAGGAAGAUGGAUGAGUCUAUGUUGGGGAGUCUUAUACAUAGAGUGCCUAUACUUGAUGGAGAGUACUUUCAUGAGUGAAAAAUGAGAUGCUUGAGAUUUUCAAUUAAUAUCAUUUGAACAAGUACAUUACUAGCCCUUGUGCACCUCAUGUUGAUCCUUUGCAUCCUACUCUUGAUGAGUCUAUUGACAUGAUUCGUAAUCUUAGAACUGUCAAUUUAAUCAGUAGAGGUUUGCCUAGAAACUUGCUUAAUAGCUUGCCUGCUCUUGAUUGUGCCUACACCAUAUGGAGAUUCCUUGAGGAACGAUUCCCAAACUAUUCCUUGAAAAAUCUAGAUGAGAUUCUUCAUAAGUCUAUUGCCUUGAGUAAGAUGAGUUCCAAUGACCCCAAAUUUGGUGAUUGUUUAUUUGAGCUUAUAAAUCUUACGAGUGCCAAAGGAGAUGUUGGAAUCAUUAGCAAUAUCAUUUCCGAAGUCAUUAGAAUUCAUAGAGAUGAACAUUGUUACGGUCGCACUUCUAAUGAAUCACUCUCUCUAGGAAUUGAUCCACCUUAUGACGAUGUUGAACAUGGAUACUAUGAUGAGGAUGAUGAUAGUGACUAUGAUCUUGAUGAUGCAAUGAGACACUUCGGUCCUAUGGCUAAUCUUCACGGCUACAUGGCUGGAGGAAAGGAAUGAGUUCUUGAUAGUGGGUGUACCGACCAUAUGACCAGAGACAAAGAUAUGUUUCGUGAGCUUGCUGAAUACGACGGUCCUCGAAAGUAUGUCACUUUUGGUGAUAACUCAAAGGGUAAGGUGGUUGGCCUUGGUAAGGUGGCCAUCUCACAUGAUAGCUCCAUACAAAAUGUUAUGCUCGUUGAAUCUCUUGGCUGCAAUUUACUUUCCGUAUCUAGACUUUCUGACUUUGGUUUCAAUGUCCUAUUUACUGAAGUAGAUUGCCAAGUGUUGCGUAGAGAUAACCAUAAAAUGGUCUUUACCGGUACACGUAGAGGUGAUCUUUACAUUCUUGAUUUCACUAAAAAGGCUCAACCUAGAACUUGCCUAAUUGCUAAAUCCUCGAAAGGUUGGUUGUUUUAUAGAAGGUUAGGUCAUGUGGCCAUGCGAUAUCUUGAUAAGCUUAUUAAAGGUGAUCUUAUCCUUGGAGUAAAAGAUGUUAUAUUUGACAAGGAUAGACUUUGUAGUGCUUGUCAAGCAGGAAAACAAGUUAGAGGAAGCCACCCCAUGAAGAACAUCAUGACCAAAAGAAGACCGCUCAAGCUACUUCAUAUGGAUCUCUUUGGUCCCAAUGCCUACAAGAGUCUCGGUGGUAACUCAUUCGGUCUAGUUAUAGUUGAUGAUUUUUCAAGAUUUAUGUGGAUGUUCUUUCUUGAUGAUAAAUUGCAGGUCCAAAAGAUCUUCAAGAACUUCGCUAGGAAGGCCCAAAAUCAAUUUGAAGUGAAGAUCAAGAAGGUUCGCAGCGACAAAGGAACGGAGUUCAAGAACGCAAAAGUGGACACCUUUCUUGACGAAGAAGGGAUCUCACACGAGUUCUCGGCUACGUACACACCUCAACAAAAUGGAGUUGUUGAGAGGAAGAACCGAACUCUUAUUGAGAUGGUGAGAACGAUGCUUGAUGAGUACAAGACUCCAAAAAACUUUUGGGCAGAAGCGGUUGAGAUAGCUUGUCAUGCAACAAAUCGCUUGUAUCUUCACAAGCUAAUCGGCAAGACGACAUAUGAGCUCCUCACCAGUAACAACCCCAAGUUGGAUACUUUCGAGUAUUUGGCUCAAAGUGUUACAUUCUUGAUAUGCAUCAUCGUUCUAAAUUUGCUCCUAAAUCUCAUGAAGGAUUCCUACUUGGUUACGUCUCAAACUCUCACACUUACCGUGUCUACAACAAUUUCACCUAAAAGGUCGAAGAGACGGUAGAUGUGAAGUUUGAUGAAUCUAAUGGCUCGCAAGUAGAGCAAUUGCCAAUUGAUGUAGGAGAUAAAGAUCCUUCGGAAGCAAUCCAAGACUUGUCUAUUGGCAAGAUCCGUCCAACGGAGGUGAAGGAGAGUACCUUGUCCGUCCAAGUGGAAGCUUCUACCUCACGACAAGGUGAACCGAGAAUUGAUACGGAAGCAUCCACAAGUGGGACACAUCAAGAUGAAGAAAACGAUGAAGUACACCAAGAUGAACCUCAUCAACCUCCUUCUCCACCACGACAAGAGAACGGCAAUGUCAACAAUGAAGAAGGCCAAGAAGAAGGACAAGAUGAUGAAGAAGAUGUUCCACCCCGACCCAAGCAAAAGCUCUCACGAGUUCGAGCAAGAGUCGCUAGAGACCAUCCCGUCGAGCAAAUCUACAAUGACAUUAAAACCGGGAGAAUCACUCGCUCUAAAACUCGUUUGGCUAAUUUUUGUGAACAUUAUUCAUUCAUAUCUAGCAUUUAACCUAUGAAGGUUGAAGAAGCACUGGAAGAUCCGAAUUGGAUAAACGCCAUGCAUGAAGAGCUACACAACUUUGAGAGAAACCAAGUGUGGACAUUGGUCGAGAAGCCCGACAACAACCACAACAUCGUUGGUACAAAAUGGGUGUUUCGUAACAAGCAAGACGAAGAUGGUCAAGUCGUCCGCAACAAAGCUCAUCUCGUUGCCCAAGGCUACACUCAAGUCGAAGGUAUGGACUGCGGUGAGACAUAUGCCCCGUUUCUAGACUUGAGUCCAUCCACAUCUUACUUGCCUAUGCUAAUCACCAUGAUAUCACUUUAUACCAAAUGGACAUUAAAAGUGCUUUUCUAAACGGUGAAAUUGAGGAGGAGGUUUAUGUUAAACAACCUCCUGGCUUUGUCAAUCCUAAGAAACCCGAUCAUGUUUACAAACUUCACAAAGCUCUUUAUGGUCUUAAACAAGCUCCUAGAGCGUGGUAUAAAUGUUUGACCAAGUUCCCUAUUGAAAAAGGUUUUGAGAUUGGAAAGAUAGACUCUACUCUUUUUAAUAAAAGGGUUAAUGGUGAAUUAUUUGUAUGCCAAAUUUAUGUUGAUGAUAUCAUAUUUGGUUCGACUAACCCUCAUUUUAGUGAAAAUUUUGGGAAGGUAAUGUCGGAGAAGUUUGAGAUGUCUAUGAUGAGUGAACUCAAGUUCUUUCUUGCUUUGCAAAUCAAGCAAACUAAGGAAGGCACCUUUGUUUCUCAAAAAAGUACACCAAGGACUUAUUCAAGAAGUUCAACAUGCAAUAAAGCAAAGGUAUGGAAACUCCCAUGCCUACUAGUGGACAUCUUGAUUUGACAAGGAUGGUAAACCGGUUGAUCAAAAGGUUUAUCGCUCUAUGAUUGGUUCAUUGUUAUAUCUAUGUGCCUUCCGUCCUGAUAUUAUGCUAAGUGUGUGCAUGUGUGCACGAUAUCAAGCGGCCCCCAAAGAAUGUCAUCUUAAGGCUGUGAAAAGGAGAGUGAGAUACUUAAUACAUACAGCAAAUUUUGGUAUUUGGUAUCCUAAGAGGUCCUCUUUCAAUCUUGUUGGCUAUUCCGACUCAGACUAUGCCGGAGACAAGGUUGAUAGAAAGUCCACUUCGGGUACUUGUCAAUUUCUUGGUAGAUCUCUUGUAUCUUGGUCCUCUAAGAAACAAAACUCGGUAUCCUUAUCCACCGCCGAAGCGGAAUACAUUGCCGCCGGUUCAUGUUGUGCUCGAUUACUUUGGAUGACCCAAACUCUUAAAGAUUAUGGGAUCAAUGUGAAACAUGUUCCAUUACUUUGUGACAAUGAGAGUUCUAUUAAGACUGCUCACAAUCCCGUGCAACAUUCUCGAACUAAGCAUAUUGAAGUUCGUCAUCAUUUCAUUCAAGAUCAUGUUGCUAAAGGGGACAUUGAUCUUAAGCAUGUUCGUAUUGAUAAGCAAUUGGCGGAUAUAUUCACCAAACCGCUUGAUGAGAAAGUCUUUUGCCGUUUGAGAGGUGAAUUGAACAUCAUUGAUGCUUCAAACUUGGAGUAGGAACUCCAUUUGGGUACAUGCAAGGCAUGAAUCUAUGACUAAUCCUUGAUACUUCUCUUAUGAUGAUGAUCAUAUGUCUUGGAUAUAUUCGCACCCUUGCAUGCUAUCUAACCCUUGUAGGUACUUGGAUGGAUCUAAAUCUAUGAGAUUGCAACUCACUCACAUCUUGAGCAAUCUCUACAUCACCAAGUCUCUACUCCAUGGUGGUUGAAAACAAGAAAGCAUGAAACCCUUCAACAUAUCCUUUGACAAAUUCUAUGUAUCAAAUUUCAUUUGGUAUCAAAUUUCAUGAUUGUCAUUUUGGAUACACGAGUGCUCUUCUUUGCAAAACUAACCCAUGUAGGUAGAUGAACUCAACUCCAAGUGGUGCUCCCAACCAUUCUUACGCUACAUCAACCUUGAGCUACCCACGCAAGUUCAACUACAUGAUCAAGAUCAACACCACCACCCAAGGUAUGUCAUUCCAUCUUAGAGAAGCUUUACCUCAAGUCAUAGGUCAAAGCAACUCAACAAGAUGUGAAUACAUCAAAUGCUUAAACGAAAAAUAGUAACCCCAUUUUGAGCUUAAACGAUGAGUAUGACUUACGAUCAAGUGUUCUCACUUGACUCCUCAGUCAAUAUACUCUAACAUAGGUGACUUUUUCACCGCCCAAUUCUAGAUAAAGUUCUCUAGUGUUUUCUUGAGUUUUUGCAUACUUCAUCUAGAUUUUCUUUUCUUUGUUUUGUUCUGCAUUUUCUACAUCCAAUUCAUUGCAAAUCCUUCCGUUAAUUCCUUGCAAAUCUUUGUCAGAUCUUAUUUGCCUAGUGAGCCGAGGUGACAAGCGUUCUAUCUGUGUUGAACUCGGUCAUACCGAUCUGUUGCUUUCGGUCACACCAAACCAAUUCGGUGCCACUGAAGACUACAACUCGGUAUCACCGAUUUCACUGCAGAGAAGACAAUCUGCCAUGUGUUCCUAUAGUUUUAUUCCAGCUCCACUCGAUGAUUCUUGUCUUCUACCAGCAUCAUAAUCUAUAUGCUGCUUUGCUCUGUGACUCAAGGACCAAACCUAUUUUGACUCACACUCUGGAAGAUCCCUUCUUGGAAAUUGAUGUCAAAGGGGGGGGGGGAGAUCACAUCAAAGCUUAUUCUCUUUAAAGGGGGGUAAAAGGAAAAAGGGGGAGAAAGAGAAAAAGGGAGAGAGAGGUAAUCACAUCAAAGGCCCCAGAUGCUUGGUGUUCAAGAGGAGAGAAGUCACAUGUCUUUAACAGGGGAAAGACAUGUCUAUGUUAUGUUUAUGGUUAUGAUCUGUUUUGCUCUGAUUUUGUUUCCCUAUGUUCUCCCAUUAUCCAAUACAAGAUUCAGGGGGAGAAAGACUGCUAGGGAAGGAAAUCUAUGAAUUCAUUGCAUAUCUUUACCUUUUUGUGACAUGUCUAUAUCAAAUACAGUACUCAGUACUCACUCUCUACAUGUCAUCCCAGUCUUGGUACUCUUGUGGUUUCUUUUGUUUGCUCUGGCUUGUAGAUGUAUCUAUGUUAUCUAACCUUGUUUACUCGGGUUCAUUCCCUCCUAAGCCAACUCAAGACCACAAGGUAAGUAUAUGCAUCACACUCAUGUGCAUAAGGAUUUCUUGUUGAUGUACAUAUUGUUUGCAAGAAAGACUUAUGAGCAUGUAGAUACAUUUCCUAUGUUUACAUCUUUUGCUUUGAUGCAUAUAGCCAAGAUACAUGUAACACAUUGCUUACUCUUUCAUGCCUAUGCAUUCACAUGCUCUUAUAUUCCAUAUUUACAUGAUUGCAUACAUAUAGGGGGAGCCUAUGCAUGUUACAUGUCUUUCCAAAGCUUUACUUGUUAUUCUCUAUAUCUUUAUCUAAAGCUUUGAUGUAUAUUGUCAUCAAUUACCAAAAAGGAGGAGAUUGAAAGCACAAGUGCUCCCUAGGUGAUUUUGGUAAUUCAUGUCAACAUAUCUCUUGUUGGACUAAUGGUUUUAUCUAGUAUGCUUCAGAUAAGUUCAACAAUGGAGUGGCAUGGACUAGAGGAUUUGGAACCCUUUUCAAGAUGAUAAGGACAAAGGAUUGGCUCAAGCUCAAAGCUCAGGAAUCUACAUUUUUCAUUUUAGUGAUCCAAGAUCACAUUGAGUCCAUAGGAAAUCCAAUACUAUUAAGAGGGGAUGAGGUGUUGCUUAAUGGCUUGCUUGCUCAUAGUGCUUAGUGAUAUGCUCCACAACCCUCAACCACUUUAUCAAAUCCACAUAUGUCCCAAACCAAAAGUCAAACUCGGCCCUACAGACAUUUCCUAUCCAGUGCCACCGAGUUCACUUGACAUAGCCACUGCCAGAAACCCUAGUCACUUCGGUCUCACCGAUAGGGAUCUCGGUCUCACCGAGAUGGGAUUGCAAACUCUCUGUGUCCCUUCGUAACGUUUCGGUCCAACCGAGAUGAGCGAUCGGUCCCACCGAGAUUGCAAUGCAAACUCUUUGUUUCUCCUUCAUAACGUUUCGGUCUAACCGAGAUGAGCGAAUCGGUCCCACUGAGUUUGCCUGACCAACUCUCUGUUUGCCUAUUACCAAAAUCGGUCCGACCGAGUUUGUGUAAUCGGUCUCAUCGAGAUUACGUUAUGCCCUAACCCUAAUGGAAUCGGUCCCAUCGAGUUGACAUGUCGGUCCCACCGAAAACCCUAACGGUCACAUUAUGAACCAAAUCGGUCCGACCGAGUUUUAUGAUUCGGUCCCACCGAGUUUGGUGAUUUGCGUGUAACGGUUAGAUUUUGUGUGGAGGCUAUAUAUACCCCUCCACCCACUCUUCAUUUAUGGAGAGAGCCAUCAGAAUAUGCCUACACUUCCAACAUACAUUUUCUGAGAGAAAACCACCUACACUUGUGUUGAGGUCAAGAUAUUUCAUUCCAACCACAUAAAUCUUGAUCUCUAGCCUUCCCCAAGUUGCUUUUCACUCAAAUCAUCUUUUUACCAAAUCCAAUCCUAUGAGAGAGAGUUGAGUGUUGGGAAGACUAUCAUUUGAAGCACAAGAGCAAGGAGUUCAUCAUCAACACACCAUCUAUUACCUUUUGGAGAGUGGUGUCUCCUAGAUUGGUUAGGUGUCACUUGGGAGCCUCCGUCAAGAUUGUGGAGUUGAACCAAGGAUUUGUACGGGAUAGGAGAUCGCCUACUUCAUGAAGAUCUACCCUAGUGAGGCAAGUCCUUCGUGGGCGAUGGCCAUGGUGGGAUAGACAAGGUUGCUUCUUCAUGGACCCUUCGUGUGUGGAGCCCUUCGUGGACUCGCGCAACCGUUACCCUUCGUGGGUUGAAGUCUCCAUCAACGUGGAUGUACGAUAGCACCACCUAUCGGAACCAUGCCAAAAAUCUCCGUGUCUCCAAUUGCGUUUGCACACUCCAAUCCCAUCCCUUUACAUUCUUGCAACUUGCAUGAUUUACUUUCCGAUGUUCAUAUACUCUUCAUCAUGCUUGCUUGAUAUGUAUUGUGAAUGUUUGAACUUGUGCCAAAACUCCACUUCACCUUAAAGAAAUUAAAAACUGUAACUUUUCUUGCUAAGAGUCUAUUCACCCCCCUCUAGACACCUCUUCUUGAUCGUUUCAUGGGUACUGAGCUUUCGUGCGACCAGGCGGACAUGAACCUCUUUAGAGCUUGCACCACCAUAACCCUGGGUAAUGGACGCAAGGCCCUUUUCUGGCAUGACAAUUGGAGGGAAGGGCCCCAUGAUUCUUAUUGCACCUACGCUUUUCGAGAUCACUUCUAGAAAGAACAUGACAGUGCAUGAUGAGCUAACGAACGACAACUAGAUUCGUGCAGUGGUCAGCCUCCGGGCCCUACAUCAGUUGGGAGAAUUUGUCACCUUAUGGGAGUGGGCCAAUCAGACUUCUCUUCUACCGAUCCAAGAGGAUGGCAUUUCUUGGAACCUGACCACUAAUGGAGCUUGCUCUUUGGCAUCGACCUACGCAACACAAUUCUUCGGCUCCCAUCCGAGGUUCAACUAUUCGAAGGCCUGGUCUGCCCCCGCAGAGCCUAAGUGCAAACACUUUGUGUGGCUUCUCCUGCACGGAAGAAUCCUCGCCGCUAACAGGCUGGCUCUGAGGGGUUGGCCGCAUGACCCGAGAUGCCAACUAUGCUCUUUCAGGAGCUUGAAACGUCAACCCACCUUUGCAAGGAUUGUCCCUUUUCUGUUGCGAUCUGGAACUAGGUGAACUCUUGGACAAUCUACCUGCUUAAGCCGGGCGCCGUGUCUGACGCGUGAAAAUUUUGCUUGCAAAUGAGCAAAAAAAAUAUCCAUUGAUGACGAGGCGGUAAUAUCAUCUACACUUUAUGGUCUAUCUGAAAAGAAAGAAACAUGUGCGUCUUCACAGGUUUUCGCAUGACACAUCAGAAGGUUGUGAUGUUGGACUGAGUCCAUAAAGCAGUAGGAUUUGCCAUUUGUUGGGGUCAUGCCAACUAUGGGCAUUGGCUGAGUGCACUUUUUUCUUUUUCUCGAUGUUUUGUCACAUUCCCUAAAAACGUGCGUCACUCUAUAAAAGUAGCAGGUGUGUGAAUCCAAGUGGUUAAUUAAGGUUAUUUUUGUGACGGCGAUCCUAGUGAUAUACUAUGUGCUUGUAGAUUUUAUGCCUAUGAUUCGUUUGCGUGAAUCAAAGUAGAAACUCAGGCCCACAAUUGACACUCCCGUUAAUUCAAGAACAAUUUUCUUGGGCAAGCAAUCCUCAUAUUGCCACAAUGCUUAGAGUUAACGAUUAAUUACCUAAGCUACCUCUUGCUGAUUUAUUGGAAGCGAGUAAAGCGACAGCCUAUUCCUCGAACAUUCUCUUAGCUUUCAAGCAACCAACCAGCAAGAAGGAAUCCACUUUUGCUGCAAGUUGGGACAAGUCGAGGAGAGGGAUUUGUUCCCAAGGAAAUGAAGAGAAGCUUCCUCCAUGACCAGGCGAGAUUCUCUUCUCUUCUUCUUUUCCGGGCAAGAGCGCUCUUCGAUCACCAUGAGAAAAGGAGUUGUUCCAAAUUACAGCGCGGUGCGUCAAGCUUUUCAACUGAAGAAUCCCCACCCGUACUAGCAAACUGAGCAAGCUCCUGAGCUACAGUGUCAUCGCCUUUAACAACCUUAGCCUCCGAGGUAACCUCGUAGUACCACUGACCACGCCAGAAUAAUUUAUUGCUAACCCGCGCAACUAGAAUUAAUCUGCUGCAAGCGUAGAAGAAACUGAACUCGGGAGGAAUUUACGGAUUCUGUUCCAACAGGAGGCCGGUGGCCGCCGCUCUUUGCUUGCUUGCUCUAACGCUUUGAGUGUGUUGCACUUGCCUUAGCCUCUGCUCUCUCCUGUCCACAUGUACUGAGACAGCUAGCACAGAUCCACACAGGAUUGCUACUUGGCGAUGCCACGCUAGCUCGCUGUUCAAUUCCUUACUCGUGAAAACUAUUAGCACCAGGCAAGUAAAUGAAAUGAGAAAUAAUUCUAAACAGCCGGCUGAUCUAGCGCAGGGCAUCCGCCGCCUCCCUUGCUCGACACGUGGACUACUGGAGCACGCCUGUAUCCUCAUCUUAUCUCUGCAACAGCAGCGAACGACAAUUAUUCAAGUGCACGACGUUGCUAGAGAUGUUUGCAAUUUUUUUAACAUGGGUCUUGUUGCAGAAAAUUAGAUGCGCCGGAUAUGCGUUUGCAACUUUUGCAAUAAGAGUCUUGUCGCAGAAAAUUAGAGAAGAAGAGGUUUGUGCAACAUGGGUCUUGGUGGGAAAAUUAGAUAAGAGAAGGUUUUGCAUCAUGAAUCUUGUUACAGAAAAUUAGAGAAGUGAAGGUUUUGCAACAAAGGUCUUGUUGCAAAGGAACGAUACGGAUAGGUCGCACCAAUGAAUCGGACGGCUCGCAUGGCAGCGGCCUUUUAAAUAGAUCCAUGGGCCGACGCGUAGCACGUCCCAAAUAAAAUGGAAUUACUAAAAUUCUCAAAAGGAUAAUUUUGGAGCGAAAUCGACACGUCCCAAGGUUGCUUCUCAUGACAAUAACCAAUCAGAUUUUGCCAAGUCCAAUUCACCUGGGAUAUUUGUGCAAGUCUGAGCGGUCCAUGUCUCGUUGAUAAGAAGAUUCGCGUUGUGGACGGCUAGCAACAGGCCAACAAUACAUGCACCAUCGACUUAGACAUUCCGAAAUCUUCUGCCGACUCAGGCGUGGACGGCCUCUGACAAAUCAAUCGUUCAACAAUACAUAAAUUUUAAGAAUAAUAACAACAUGUAUUUAUGAAUAUAUAGAAACGACAAUGAUAUAUUGGGCCACCGUAGAAUCUAGUUCCUGGCAGGCAUACAAUGGCAUCGCAACGCAACCCCCUCCGCUAAGGAAAAAGGAGAAUCAGUGAAGACGCAAGCAAGGGAAGCAAAGCAAAGCGAGGCCAUGCCAUGCCAUGCCAAGUUGCCUGCCAACCCCCAGAGCCAAACCCAACAAAAGGGAGCGAAAGGUGGUGGAGUCAACCACAUAGCGUGAGUCUUACCCGCCCCAACCGCCGAAAGCUAUCCGACGCGGCCUUUACCCCUCACGCCAGCCCACGCUACAAAGAGCCGAGCAUACCUUCCCAGGCCGUCCCCUACACACACAAUCUAGUCUCCUGAUCUCGUCGUCUCUCAAUCCCGUAGAUCACUUCCACAGUAGCCAGCCAGCCGCCCGGAUUAGCCAUGUCCUGCUUCGCCGUGCCCGUGCGCACCUCGUCGUCGUCGUCGAGGAUAAGCGGCAGCAGGCAGCCGUGGCGGUGGUGGCGCAAGUGCGCGGGCCUCGCCGCCGCGGCGCACACCAAGCUCCGCCGCACCGCCUUGCGUGUCCGGUGGUCGGCCACGGGGCGGCUGGGCGGCCACCGUCGGCGCGCGCCGGCGCCGCCCCUGCUGUCCGUGCAGCGCGGGGACCACAUGAGCUUCGCGCCGGUCUACGUCGACGAGCUCUACAGCCAGCCCAAGGGCCUCAGCGUCGUCCACGAGGAGCAGCAGCCGCAGCCCAGCACCAGCAAACUCGCGCGUCCAGCCGGCAGUGUGAACAAGGCACGCGUGCAUGGCGUAGCCGCUGCUACCGGUGGCAACAAAGCAUGUGCGGCGGCGGCGGCCGCCAAGAGCCUCGGCGUAAGGGGCUUCUUGCUGAGCCCGGGCAGAGGGUGCGUUGGGAUGGGGGAGGUGGACGUGAGGGCGGAGAUGUUCAUCAGGAAGUUCAGGGAGGAGAUGAGGCUGCAGAGCCAGAGGUCGGCCGAGGAACUCCAGGCCAUGCUUGCAAGAGGCCUAUGACCUCCAUCAUACUAGUAGUAAUAACUCAUCUUCUCAUGGAUGUACUUAAUUAGCCACGAGGAUGCGUAGAUUAGCUAUAGCUUGGUUUGGUUUGCGAUUUGGGUAAAUGUUUCGAUUGGGAGCUUGGUUUUCGCCUUGUAUAUAGGAUUGUAGUAUCCGUUGAUCGCAUGGAAGUACAUGUAUUAUUGGGUAUUCAUUACAAGAAGAAAAGAUGUGUUGAACACUUAUAACAGCCUCGGUAUUCAUUAUUGUUCUUCCGAGCUUGUCGACAGCAGGCAUCUACUGUGAAAGGUGUGUGUUGACUUAUAAACCAGGCUAAUGUCCAAGCAUGCCCACCUGGAAAGAAAAAGGGUUGUUUGGUUGGUUGGGCUGCAUCAGAAUGUUGCAUCGCACCGAACCUAAAGCACCUCCCAGUCAGGCCUGCUAGGAACGGCCGAAUUAGCCGUUACCAGCGAGCUAGGCUCGAGUGGUGCAGGGGACGAGUACGCGGCACUGACCUCCCCGAAAAAACAGCGGGAGGAAUUGGCGUCACCUCCUCCCGAAUCGACCGCCCUAUAUAGUCAGCCUCACCAUCCCCCCUCCCCAAAAACUGUAGCUUGGGUAUUCAUUAUUGUUCUUCCGAGCUUGUCGACAGCAGGCAUCUACUGUGAAAGGUGUGUGUUGACUUAUAAACCAAGCUAAUGUCCAAGCAUGCCCACCUGAAAAGAAAAGGGGUUGUUUGGUUGGUUGGGCUGCAUCAGAAUGUUGCAUAGCACUGAACCUAAAGCACCUCCCAGCCAGGCCCGCUAGGAACGGCCGAAUUAGCCGUUACCAGCGAGCUAGGCUCGAGUGGUGCAGGGGAUGAGUGCACGGCGCUGACCUCCCCGAAAAAAUAGCGGGAGGAAUUGGCGUCACCUCCUCCCGAACCGAUCGCCCUAUAUAGUCAGCCUCACCAUCCCCCCUCCCAAAAAAAAUCCCGCCACCAUUCCUCCCUAUCGAGCUUUCCCUCCGCCACGGAUUGAUAAUGACGACCAGGUAAGCGACCCUCCUGCUCCGACCAUCGGUUGACAGCGGCGACGAUUCUAGUCCUCCUCUUCUCCGACCCGCACCUCCUUUGAGUUGCUCAGAGCAUCCACAAUGUGUAUUUUUCACUGCUGAAAGAUCGAGGAUGUCGCCUAGAGGGGGGGGGUGAAUAUGCGCUUUAAAAUAAUUAUGGUUUAGACUUGAACAAAUGCAGAAUCAACCUAGCGGUUAAUUUGUCAAGCACAAAACCUAAAACGACUAGGCUCACCUAUGUGCACUAACAACUUAUGCUAAGCAAGAUAAACAACUAUGUGAUAGCAAGGUAUAUGACAAUGAACAAUAUGGCUAUCACAAAGUAAAGUGCAUAGGUAAAGAGCACGGGUAAGACAUAACCGAGGCACGCGGAGACGACGAUGUAUCCCGAAGUUCACACCCUUGCGGAUGCUAAUCUCCGUUUGAAGCGGUGUGGAGGCACAAUGCUCCCCAAGAAGCCACUAGGGCCACCGUAAUCUCCUCACGCCCUCGCACAAUGCAAGAUGUCGCGAUUCCACUAAGGGACCCUUGAGGGCGGUCACCGAACCUGUAUAAAUGGCAACCCUUGGGGCGGUCACCGAACAUGUAUCACUGUGGAGAACUCAAACCAUGCACAAAUGCAAUGGCAAGGGCACACCGAGUGCCCAAGUCCUUCUCUCUCAAAUCCCACCAAAACAACUAAUGCUAGGGAGGAAACUGAGAGGAAGAACAAAAAGGGGAACACUAGAAACUCCAAGAUCUAGAUCCAAGGGGUUCCCCUCACAUAGAGGAGAAAGUGAUUGGUGGAAGUGUGGAUCUAGAUCUCCUCUCUCUUUUCCCUCAAAAACUAGCAAGAAUCCAUGGAGGGAUUGAGAGUUAGCAAGCUCGAAGAAGGUCAACAAUGAGGGAAGAACACGAGCUCAAAAGAUUAGACUGAAUGGGGAAGAAGGCCCCCUUUUAUAGGAGCUCCCGAAUCCAACCGUUAUGUGCUCAGUCCGCGCAUGAGCGGUACUACCGCUCAGGGGAGCGGUACUACCGCCCGGGUGGUAGAACACAGAGAGCGGAGCAAAACAGAGGGCGAGGAAGAGCCGUAUGAACGGCACUACCGCUGGAGCCAGCGGUACUGCCGCUUGGCCCAGCGGUACUACCGCUGGGAUCGCGCACAACGCCUACCACGAGCACAGUGAUAAGGGACAGAGAGGAGGACCAUUGAGCGGCACUACGGGUGAUGGUAGCCGCGGUACUACCGCACACGAGCGGUACUACCUCUCCUACUGCCGCUACUACUGCCGCUGAACCCAACAUGAGAAAACCACAUUUCGAGUCGAGGCGGUACAAGCGCGGAACCGGAGCCGUACUACCGCUUAUGGCCAUGGGCGGUACUACGGCUGUGAGACAGCACUACUAUUGGUUGUGGCGAUAUGCGGUACUGCCGCUCCGGCCCAGUGGUACUACCUCUGGCGCCAUCCUUAGGCCACUUCCACGAAAACAAGUACAACCCAAGGAAAACCAGAACUGCCACAACUUCUGCAAAAGAGCUCCGAAAAGAGCAAACUCAAGCUUGUUGGAUACAAGACGACGAGGAGCAUCCAACAACAACUGGUUAUAGAAAGAAGUGGCAGGGGAGGUAUGCCUAACAAAUAGAGGAGAGAAACCUCCAACAGAGAAGAACCGGCAUAACCUCCAACAUCGAAAAAUCAUAGAAGAUGCAUGUGAACUCCGUUUUUGAUGAACUCGAGCUUGUCAUCAAGAUGACAAAAAGCUCUAAGACUCACAAAGAGAGCCAAAAAUAAGAACCAAGAAAGUUGAUGCAAGGAUGCAAUGGUUUGAUGAAGACUAGUUGAUUGCUCCCCCAUACCCCACUAUGGGUGAGCCACUCUUCCGCACAUCUUCACAAGUCCAUUGUCACCACAAUGGAUGGCAAGCUUCAAGCAUUCGAUCUCUUUGUGUUGCUCCACUUGAACUUGCACACCACAACCAUACCAUGGGAUCACUUGAUCCCUCGGUACAUCUUGUACGCUUUGCGUGUUGAUCAACUUGAUUCACUCUUGACUUAGUCUUGAUCAACCUUGAUUCUUUCCAACUCUCUUCAUUUGGAUGAUGUCUAGAAGGUAAACAUGAAUGAUCACACAAUCUUCUUCUUCAAGGCAUGCUUGCAAUAAGCUCAACUCUCACAUGACCAAUCUUUGGAUAAUUCCUUAAUAGCACCUUGGUCACCACAUAAACUCCUUGAAACCAACACAUGGACUUCAAGAAAUGCCUAUGGACAAAUCCUUCAAAUAUAACUCAAGGCAACCAUUAGUCCAUAGAGAUUGUCAUUAAUUACCAAAACCAAACAUGAGGGUACCGCAUGUUCUUUCAACUGCCUCUAAGCACUCUCUCUCAUCUUAGAGGUGGCCUCCAUACAGUGCGUUGCAUGCCUCUAAGAAAAAAAUUGCUAGCGUCGCCUCUUAGCUUGGAGGCUGCCUCUUUCUAUUUAAAUAAUCAAGCAACCCCACUUGUCAGCCUGUUUGUGCUCCCCACAAUGCAUGUGAUGCACCGAAGGUCUCCUACAUGCAGGUUACCAUGCCUUUGUUUAAUGAACCAUGGACCCACAAUAGAGGCUGAAGCAAAAUGAUAUACAGUACGUGGUUUUGAGAUAUGUUUGGAGACAGGGUUGUGGGGUCCAUCUUAGAGGCAAGCUAGCCUCUAAGCACUGUGGAUGCCCUCACAUGGCGUCUGUGAGUUCAACCACCCACUUCUUUGUACUCAUUCUAGGUAGAUCUAUGAGCAUGUGGUAGGGUUAGAUCCAUCUUUCAAGAAUUCGUCCGAUUAAUCAGUUACGAGCCAGUUAAUCGCUACUCAUAGGGUGGCCGGCUCAAAUAACACCUUUUCGGUGUGUUAACUUGCGAGACCGAUUAACUAGCCGGUUGCUAGGCCCAUUAAUCACUUCUGACCCAUCAACUAGGGGGCAAACAAAGCCCAAUUUUUUUGUCCAUAACCCAUCCCACUCCUCCCGCUCCUCAAUAUCUAGGUUUGGCCCUACCCCGACCUAGCUAGCAGCUCGCCAGGUCCUCAUCGGCGCCAACUAGUGUGCUACAUCUCCAAGGUCCAGCAGCUCCACUGCUCUGGUCGCCUGCCUGGUACCCAUCCCAUCUCGUAGGCUAUAGCCCAUCCUCUCCCGUGGGCUACCCCCCAUCUCCUGACCCGUCAGCUGCUCCCCAACCCCUCCUGGCAGCUGCUCCCCAAACUCUUCCUCCAUGGCAUCACUAGCGAGCAAGGUACUACACCCUUCAUCCUCUCACCAAGUGGAGAAUCCAACAUCCAUAGAUUAGUAGAUUACAUAUUACAAAUUUAUAGAUUAGCAUAUGGAACUGUUGGUUUGGGUUGUUAUUGGUAGCAUAUUGUGUGACUAUAUGUGGACAAGUUUAAAUGUUUAAUUGAUGAUUACGAAUUUUGUGAUUUUGUAGGUUUGAUCCAUCAAGGUUAUCAAGUUUACCUCUUGUUUAUGUUUUUUAAUAUGCCUAUAGUAGAAUAUUUUGGUAUAUUACAUAGUUGGGAGAAUUGAAAUAUGGUAUAAUACAACGAAAAACUAGAUACAUGUUGGCAUGUUCCUAUUUAAUCUACCAAUUGAUAUAGUUAAUAGGCCGAUUCAUGGAUUAAUUGCUACUCUCAAACUGGCCGAGUAGCUACCAGUUACCGAUUUUCCGAACAUUGGUUAGAUUUGUGUCCAUGUUGUAGCAUUGUACACCACGGACAUGUGUGAAUGUGAUGUUCUGGUACCUAGUGGUGAUGGAUUUGAAGCAUGCUAGGAGUUGUUUCCAUGUCAGCAAGGACUGAUAGCUAGUGGUGAUGGAUUGGUAGUAUGUUUGAUGUGUAGUAUGCUAGUAUGCAACUAUGCAUGCUAUUUUGUUGAACUCUUUGCUAUGAUUUGAGCUGCUAUGCUGAAUAGAUCAGUUGUCUAUACAUGUGAUAGUGCUCAUUCAUACUGUCGAUAUGUAGUGUUGGUUCAUAUUGUCCAUGUUUAGUGCUAGUUCCUACUGUCAAUGUGUAGUGUGAUCCACUCUUAGAGAUGCUUACACUUGUAGGACAUGACCAUGCAAGAGUUUAGUCAGGCCCUUGUCGUGACCGAGAGCCAGUUUGCAGCGUCCUAUGUCGAGGACUCCCAGCCUACCAUCGACAACUCGGUGUCUCCUUAUUCAAAUGUUUUUGAGGUGUCUCCUAUGGUUCCACCAUUUCUGGCUUCAGCAUUUGUGCUGGCUUAGCCCAAUGAUGCAGCUCAUGCCACUGCUCAAAAGGCAGCCGCAAAGGAAAAGAAGUAGGGGGGGACUCCAUGAAAUGGCAGCCAUUCAUGUCGACAUUCAUGCUUAACAAGAUGUGUGAAAUCAUAGCUAGUGGGGUGAUGACUGAGAAGGGCUUUAAGGAGGUGCACUUGAACAUGGUUGCAAAGUAUGUGUUCAAGUUUUGUAGGCAGGAGGUCACCUCGACCCAGGUAUACAAUCACCUCAGGAAGUGGAGAGUGAGGUGGAUGACAGUGUCCAAACUCAGAGACCUGACCGGCACUUCAUGGGAUCAGGAGACCUGCUCGAUCCUUUUGGAGGCAUAGCACGACAAAGGCACACCACGGUUAGCUCACGACCCACCUGUUUAAGCCUAUGUACCAUGCCAAUCACAACUAACCACGUUGUUGUGUUUCUUUUUGGGCUCACCCAAGGACAUAGAGUUCCUCAACGCACCCAUCCAGAACUACCACCAAAUGCAGCAGAUCUUCUCCUUUGGGCUGGCAACCAACAAGCAUGCCCUGGGCUCCGGUCAACCACUCGGUUUGCCUCUGCCCGAGUAUGUAGACACCCAAGGGUCAGAGACCAUCAUCCUUGAUGUCCCUAACAAGGAUGGUGAUCAUGUUCCCAUGCUUGAUAGGAAGAGGAAGAUGGGAGCCUUGAUAGACGACGAGUUGACCGUCUUCAGUAGCAUGACUUAGGUCAUCAAGGAGGUGGCAAGCGCCAUCAGGGAGAACAAGUCGGUCGAUGUCCACCAUGACCUCUACAACGCCAUCAUGGACCAAGGUGGCUUUAGCCCAGAGGCUCUGAUGACUGCUCUGAGCCACCUGCUGGACAAUAGGGCUCGGGGUGUUGGGUUUGUCGCCAUGGCAGAGGCCCACAAGGUGCUCUAUCUCAGGACCUGGUUGGGCAAGCACUACUACUAGUGUUGCUUCUGUUGGUGGUUAAAGUGUGCAUGAUCCUCGACAGCGAUGGCGAUGGCAAUGAUGAUGAUGAUGUACACUUUGUGGUAGCUAGGGCUUGAUAAACUCUUGAUGUAGGCUUGUAUAUUUUGAUGAGGUGGUAUAGAAAUCCCUCAUGCCGAUGGCGAACUAAUGAUGGUAGGAUAACACCUUUUUGAGUGUGGUGGUAGGAUGACACCAUAGUAGUGGUAGGAUGAACUUGGUAUGACGUAUGAUCAUGCAUGCUUGCUUAUGUUUCAUGUCUAGUGUGCUCCAUGCCUUGCUGUUUGAAUUGUUGCUCCCUGCCAUGCUAGGACAAGUGGUAUAUAUGUGGUGUUCUGAGGGGGGUCCAUGGGUUUAUAGUUCAUGGGAAGCAUGCAAUGAAUAAGUGGCGGGUUACAAAAAUAGCUGCCAUAGAGGGUUUAAGAAUAGGCAGGCGACAGAGGAUGCUUACUCCAAGGUCGUGCUCAAGCAGACAUGCAGUGUUGAAGUUGGCAAGGCAGAUCGACAGUUUGCCUAAAGAACUUCAUCAUCAUCGUCUAGUUCGUCGUGGUUGCGGUGUUGUUUUAUUGCUUGAUGGUGUGUAAGGUGUGGCUGGCAAGCUCACCACGUAGGUUACAAGGUAACCAGACCUCGCUGCAUGUAUGCAACCAAACACCAUGCAUUAGUAUGAGCCCAGCCAAUGCGAGCAACCAAACAGCAUGCAGUGGUAUGAACCCAACCAAUGCGAGCAACCAAACACAGUGCAUAGGUCGUUCCUAUGAUGCAGGGAAGCAGGAUGCAGGCAACCAAUCUAUAUGGAUAUGUUGGUUUUUUUGCUUCAAUUUGUUCAGCCAGGCUGACCUAGGACAUGUAUGCAAGGGGGAUAAAAAGGGUGCGAGCAACCAAACAUGUCAUAAGUAUUUCAUCGCUUUUUUAAAAAAUUGUUCGGAAGCUAUGUUGAUGGAGGUGAAAUAUACAUUGGAAAUUACAAAGCAAUAUGUCGACCCUGAAUAUUUGGGGCUGCCUGUUCCUGAUGGGUGAAUGCAUAAAGGGAAAUUUGAAACAGUACAAGGUAGUCUGAUAAAGCGAUUGGUGCACUCGAUCUCUCGAAACAGGCUUUCGCCCCGCUUUAUAUAUAAAACAACAACUGAACAAAGUACACGGCAAAAUUAUACAAGGUGAUGAGGUAGCCCUCAAACAAUGCCGAUCCUAGGAUAACCGAAUCACGCAGGACGCACGCGACUACGCUACCAAAAGAGAGUACAGGAGAAACUAAGUACAACCAAGCAAUGCCCUAUAACACCUAAGCUCCAUGACAACUGUUGGGGAACGCAGUAAUUUCAAAAAAAUUCCUACGCACAUGCAAGAUCAUGGUAUGCAUAGCAACAAGAGGGGAGAGUGUUGUCCACGUACCCUCGUAGACCAUAAGCGGAAGCGUUAUGACAACGCGGUUGAUGUAGUCAUACGUCUUCACGAUCGAAUGAUCCUAGUACCGAAAGUACGGCACCUCCGUGAUCUGCACACGUUCCGCUCGGUGACGUCCCACGAACUCAUGAUCCAGAAGAGUGUCAAGGGAGAGCUUCAUCAGCAUGACGGCGUGAUGAUGGUGAUGAUUAUGCUACCGGAACAGGGCUUCACCUAAGCACCGCUACGAUAUGACCGAGGAGGAUUAUGGUGGAGGGGGGCACCGCACACGGCUGGAAACAAUCAACUUGUGUGUCCUAGGGUGCCCCCUGCCCCAUAUAUAAAGGGGCAAGGGGGGAGGCCGGCCGGCCCUAGUGGCGCGCCAAGGGAGGAGGAAUCCUCCUCCUAGUAGGAGUAGGAUUCCUCCUUUCCUAGUCCUACUAGGAGGAGAAGGGGAAGGAAGGAAGGGAGAGGAAGAGGAGAAGGAAAGGGGGGCGCGCCCCCUCCCUAGUCCAAUUCGGACUCCCUAUAGGGAGGGGCGCAGCUUCUCCUUNNNNNNNNNNNNNNNNNNNNNNNNNNNNNNNNNNNNNNNNNNNNNNNNNNNNNNNNNNNNNNNNNNNNNNNNNNNNNNNNNNNNNNNNNNNNNNNNNNNNNNNNNNNNNNNNNNNNNNNNNNNNNNNNNNNNNNNNNNNNNNNNNNNNNNNNNNNNNNNNNNNNNNNNNNNNNNNNNNNNNNNNNNNNNNNNNNNNNNNNNNNNNNNNNNNNNNNNNNNNNNNNNNNNNNNNNNNNNNNNNNNNNNNNNNNNNNNNNNNNNNNNNNNNNNNNUUCGGUUUUCUCCGAAAUCACCCGGAACACUACCGGUGUCCGAAUAUAGCCAUCCAAUAUAUCAAUCUUUAUGUCUCGACCAUUUUGAGACUCCUUGUAAUGUUUGUGAUCAUAUCCGGGACUACGAACUACCUUCGGUACAUCAAAACACAUAAACUCAUAAUACCGAUUGUCACCGAACGUUAAGCGUGCGGACCCUACGGGUUCGAGAACUAUGUAGACAUGACCAAGACACGUCUCCGGUCAAUAACCAAUAGCGGAACCUGGAUGUUCAUAUUGGCUCCCACAUAUUCUACGAAGAUCUUUAUCGGUCAAACCGCAUAACGAUAUACGUUGUUCCCUUUGUCAUCGGUAUGUUACUUGCCCGAGAUUCGAUCGUCGGUAUCCCAAUACCUAGUACAAUCUCAUUGUCGGUAAGUCUCUUUACUCGUUCCGUAAUGCAUCAUCCUGCAACUAACUCAUUAGUCACAUUGCUUGCAAGGCUUAUAGUGAUGUGCAUUACCGAGAGGGCCCAGAGAUACCUCUCUGAUACUCGGAGUGACAAAUCCUAAUCUCGAUCUAUGCCAACUCAACAAACACCAUCGGAGACACCUGUAGAGCAUCUUUAUAGUCACCCAGUUACGUUGUGAUGUUUGAUAGCACACAAAGUGUUCCUCCGGUAUUCGAGAGUUGCACGAUCUCAUAGUCAUAGGAACAUGUAUAAGUUAUGGAGAAAGCAGCAACAACAAACUAAACGAUCAUCAUGCUAAGCUAACGGAUGGGUCAAGUCAAUCACAUCAUUCUCUAAUAAUGUGAUCUCUUUAAACAAAUGACAACUUAUGUCUAUGGUCAGGAAACAUAACCAUCAUUGAUUCAACGAGCUAGCCAAGUAGAGGCAUACUGGUGACACUCUGUUUGUCUAUGUAUUCACACAUGUACUAAGUUUCCGGUUAAUACAAUUCUAGCAUGAAUAAUAAACAUUUAUCAUGAUAUAAAGAAAUAUAAAUAACAACUUUAUUAUUGCCUCUAGGGCAUAUUUCCUUCAGUCUCCCACUUGCACUAGAGUCAAUAAUCUAGUUCACGUCGUCAUGUGAUUUCACACCAAUAGUUCACAUCUUUAUGUGAUUAGUUCACAUGUCCAUGUGACUAAUACCCAAAGGGUUUACUAGAGUCAAUAAUCUAGUUCACAUCGCUAUGUGAUUAACACCCAAAGAGUGAUCAUGUUUUUCUUGUGAGAGAAGUUUAGUCAACGGGUCUGCCACAUUCAGAGCCGUAUGUAUUUUGCAAAUUUUCUAUGUCUACAAUGGUCCGCAAGGAGCUACUCUAGCUAAUCGCUCCCACUUUCAAUAUGUAUCUAGAUCGAGACUUAGAGUCAUCCAGAUCGGUGUCAAAGAUUGCAUCGACGUAACUCCUUACGAUGAACUCUUUGUCACCUCCAUAACCGAGAAACAUUUCCUUAUUUCACUAAGGAUAAUUUUGACCGUUGUUCAGUGAUCCACUCCUGGAUCACUAUUGUACCCUCUUUCCAAACUCAUGGUGGGGUACACAAUAGGUCUGGUACACAGCAUGACAUACUUUACAGAACCUAUGACUGAGGCAUAGGGAAUGACUUUUCAUUCUCUUUCUAUUUUCUGUUGCGGUCGGGUUUUGAGUCUUUACUCGACUUCACACCUUGCAACACAGGCAAGAACUCCUUCUUUGACUGUUCCAUUUUGAACUACUUCAAAAACUUGUCAAGGUAUGUACUCAUUGAAAAAAAAUUAUCAAGGGUCUUGAUCUAUCUCUAUAGAUCUUGAUGCUCAAUAUGUAAGCAGCUUCACCAAGGUCUUUCUUUUAAAAACUCCUUUCAAACACUCAUAUAUGCUUUCCAGAAAAUUCUACAUUAUUUCCGAUCAACAAUAUGUCAUUCACAUAUACUUAUUAGAAAUUUUGUAGUGCUCCCACUCACUUUCUUGUGAAUACAGGCUUCACAGCAAGUCUGUAUAAAACUAUAUGCUUUGAUCAACUCAUCAAAGUGUAUAUUCCAACUCUGAGAUGUUUGCACGAGUCCAUAGAUGGGUCGCUGGAGCUUGCACACUUUGUUAGCACCUUUAGGAUUGACAAAACUUUCUUGUUGUAUCAUAUACAACUCUUCUUUAAGAAAUCCAUUAAGGAAUGUAGUUUUGACAUCCAUUUGCCAGAUUUCAUAAAAUGUGGCAAUUGCUAACAUGAUUCGGACAGACUUAAGCAUCGCUACGAGUGAGAAAAUCUCAUCUUAGUCAACACCUUGAACUUGUCGAAAACUUUUUGCGACAAUUCGAGCUUUGUAGAUAGUAACACUACUAUCAGCGUCUGUCUUCCUCUUGAAGAUCCAUUUUAUUCUCUAUGGCUUGCCGAUCAUCGGGCAAGUCAAUCAAAGUCCCCACUUUGUUCUCAUACAUGGAUCCCACUCAGAUUUCAUGGCCUCAAGCCAUUUUGCGGAACCUGGGCUCAUCAUUGCUUCCUCAUAGUUCGUAGGUUCGUCAUGGUCUAGUAACAUGACUUCUAGAAUAGGAUUACCGUACCACUCUAGUGUGGAAUGUACUCUGGUUGACCUACGAGGUUCGGUAGUAACUUGAUCGGAAGUUUCAUGAUCUUUAUCAUUAGCUUCCUCUCUAGUUGGUGUAGGCAUCAUGGGAAUAUAUUUCUCUGAUGAGCUACUUUCCAAUUCGGGAGAAGGUACAAUUACCUCAUCAAGUUCUAGUUUCCUCCCACUCACUUCUUUCGAGAGAAACUCCUUCUCUAGAAAGGAUCCACUCUUAGCAACAAAGAUCUUGCCUUUCGGAUCUAUGAUAGAAGGUGUACCCAACAAUUUCUUUUGGGUAUCCUAUGAAGACGCACUUCUCCGAUUUGGGUUCGAGCUUAUUAGGUUGAAACUUUUUCACAUAAGCAUCAUAGCCCCAAACUUUAAGAAAUGACAGCUUAGGUUUCUUGCUAAACCACAGUUCAUAUGGUAUCGUCUCAACGGAUUUAGAUGGUGCCCUAUUUAACGUGAAUGUGACUGUCUCUAAUGCAUAACCCCAAAACGAUAGUGAUAAAUCGGUAAGAGACAUCAUAGAUCGCACCAUAUGUAAUAAAGUACGGUUAUGACGUUCGGACACACCAUUACGUUGUGGUGUUCCAGGUGGCAUGAGUUGUGAAACUAUUCCGCAUUGUUUCAAAUGAAGACCAAACUCGUAACUCAAAUAUCCUCCUCCAGGAUCAGAUCGCAGAAACUUUAUUUUCUUGUUACGAUGAUUUUCCACUUCACUCUGAAAUUCUUUGAACUUUUCAAAUGUUUCAGACUUAUGUUCGAUCAAGUAGAUAUACCCAUAUCUGCUCAAAUCAUAUGUGAAGGUCAGAAAAUAACGAAACCCGUCACGAGCCUCAACACUCAUCGGAUUGCAUACAUCAGUAUGUAUUAUUUCCAAUAAGUCAGUUGCUUACUCCAUUGUUCCGGAGAACGGAGUUUUAGUCAUCUUUCCCACAAGGCAGGGUUCGUAAGCAUCAAAUGAUUCAUAAUCAAGUGAUUCCAAAAGCCCAUCAGCAUGGAGUUUCUUCAUGCGCUUUACACCAAUAUGACCUAAACGGCAGUGCCACAUAUAAGUUGCACUAUCAUUAUUAAAUUUGCAUCUUUCGGCUUUAAUAUUAUGAAUAUGUGUAUCACUACAAUCGGGAUUCAAUAAACCAUUCACCUUGGGUGUAUGACCUCAGAAGGUUUUAUUCAUGUAAACAGAAUAACAAUUAUUCUUUAACUUAAAUGAAUAACCGUAUUGCAAUAAACAUGAUCCAAUCAUAUUAUGCUCAACGCAAACACCAAAUAAAAUUUAUUUUAGGUUCAACACUAAUCCCGAAGGUAAAGGGUGUUGGGGAACGUAGCAGAAAUUCAAAAUUUUCUACGCAUCACCAAGAUCAAUCUAUGGAGCAAUCUAGCAACAAGGGGAAGGAGAGUGCAUCUACAUACCCUUGUAGGUCGCUAAGCGGAAGCGUUCAAGUGAACGGGGUUGAUGGAGUCGUACUCGUCAUGAUCCAAAUCACCGAUGAUCCUAGUGCCGAACGGACGGCACCUCCGUGUUCAACACACGUACAGCCCGGUGACGUCUCCUACGCCUUGAUCCAGCAAGGGGAGAAGGAGAGGUUGGGGAAGACUCCAUCCAGCAGCAGCACGACGGCAUGGUGGUGGUGGAGGAGCGUGGGACUCCAACAGGGCUUCGCCAAGCACUACGAGAGACGAGGAGGAAGAGGGGUAGGGCUGCGCCAACAGGGAGAUUGAAUUGUGUAUCGGGAUGCCCCAUUGCCUCCACUAUAUAUAGGGGAGAGGGAGGGCUGCGCCCCCACCUAGGGUUCCCACCCCAAGGGGUGCGGCAGCCCUAGAUCCCAUCUAGGGUGGCGGCCACAAGGGGGAGAGGGGGAGGCGCACCUAGGGUGGGCCUUAGGGCCCAUCUGCCCUAGGGUUUGCCCCCUUCCCCUAUUGGAGGCGCCUUGGGCCUUGGUGGGAGGCGCCCUAGCCCACCUAGGGGCUGGUCCCUUCCCACUAUUGGCCCAUGUAGGCCUCCGGGGCUGGUGGCCCCACCUGGUGGACCCCCGGACCCCUCCGGUGGUCCCGGUACACUACCGGUGAUGCCCGGAACACUUCCGGUGGCCAAAACCAUACUUCCUAUAUAUCAAUCUUUACCUCCGGACCAUUCCGGAACUCCUCGUGACAUCCGGGAUCUCAUCCGGGACUCCGAACAACAUUCGGUAACCGCGUACAUACUUUCCCUAUAACCCUAGCGUCAUCGAACCUUAAGUGUGUAGACCCUACGGGUUCGGGAGUCAUGCAGACAUGGCCGAGACAACUCUUCGAUCGAUAACCAAAAGCGGGAUCUGGAUACCCAUGCUGGCUCCCACAUGCUCCACGAUGAUCUCAUCGGAUGAACCACGAUGUCAAGGACUUAAUCAAUCCCGUAUACAAUUCCCUUUGUCUAUCGGUACGAUACUUGCCCGAGAUUCGAUCGUCGGUAUCCCGAUACCUUGUUCAAUCUCGUUACCGGCAAGUCUCUUUACUCGUUCCGUAACACAUCAUCCCGUGAUCAACUCCUUGAUCACAUUGUGCACAUUAUGAUGAUGUCCUACCGAGUGGGCCCAGAGAUACCUCUCCAUUUACACGGAGUGACAAAUCCCAGUCUCGAUUCGUGCCAACCCAACAGACACUUUCGGAGAUACCUGUAGUGUACCUUUAUAGCCACCCAGUUACGUUGUGACGUUUGGCACACCCAAAGCACUCCUACGGUAUCUGGGAGUUGCACAAUCUCACGGUCUAAGGAAAUGAUACUUGACAUUAGAAAAGCUUUAGCAUACGAACUACAUGAUCUUGUGCUAGGCUUAGGAUUGGGUCUUGUCCAUCACAUCAUUCUCCUAAUGAUGUGAUCCCGUUAUCAACGACAUCCAAUGUCCAUGGUUAGGAAACCGUAAUCAUCUAUUGAUCAACGAGCUAGUCAACUAGAGGCUUACUAGGGACAUGGUGUUGUCUAUGUACCCACACAUGUAUCUGAGUUUCCUAUCAAUACAAUUCUAGCAUGGAUAAUAAACUAUUAUCAUGAACAAGGAAAUAUAAUAAUAACCAAUUUAUUAUUGCCUCUAGGGCAUAUUUCCAACAAAGGGAGUGUGCGAUGGUGAUCUUAUCAACCUUGGAAUCACUUCCAACUCACAUCAUCACCUCGCCCUUAACUAGUCUUUGUUUAUUUUGCAACUCCCAUUUCGAGUUACUACUCUUAGCAACUGAACCAGUAUCAAAUACCGAGGGGUUUCUAUAAACACUAGUAAAGUACACAUCAAUAACAUGUAUAUCAAACAUACUUUUGUUCACUUUGCCAUCCUUCUUAUCCGCCAAGUAUAUAGGGCAGUUCCACUUUCAGUGACCAUUUCCUUUGCAGUAGAAGCACUCAGUUCCAGGCUUGGGUCUAGCUUUGGGCUUCUUCAUGGGAGCAGCAACUUGCUUGCUAUUCUUCUUUGAAGUUCCUUUUUAUUUCCCUUUGCCCUUUUCUUGAAACUAGUGGUCUUGUUAACCAUCAACACUUGAUGCUAUUUCUUGAUUUCUUCCUUCGCUGAUUUUAGCAUCACAAAGAGUUUGGGAAUUACUUUCGUCAUCCCUUGCAUAUUAUAGUUCAUCACUAAGUUCUAGUCACUUGGUGAUAGUGACUAUAUAACUUUUGUCAAUUACUAUCUUAUCUGGAAGAUUAACUCCCACUUGAUUCAAGCAAUUGUAGUACUCAAACAUUCUGAGCACAUGCUCACUAGUUGAGCUAUUCUCCUCCAUCUUGUAGGCAAAGUACUUGUCAUAGGUCUCCUACCUCAUGACACGGGCAUGUGAAAUACCAAUUUCAACUCUUAGAACAUCUUAUAUGCUUUGUGGCGUUCAAAACGUUUUUGAAAUACCGGUUCUAAGCCGUAAAGCAUGGUGCACUAAACUAUCAAGUAGUCAUCAUACCAAGCUUGUCAAACGUUCAUAACGUCUGCAUCUACUCCUGCAAUAGGCCCGUCACCUAGCGGUGCAUCAAGGACAUAAUUCUUCUAUGCAGCAAACGAGGAUAAUCCUCAGAUCACGGAUCCAAUCCGCAUCAUUGCUACUAUCAUCUUUCAACAUAGUUUUCUCUAGGAACAUAUCAUAAAUAAAACGGGGAAGCUAUAUACGAGCAAUUGAUCUACAACAUAGAUAUGCAAAAUACUAUCAGGUACUAAGUUCAUGAUAAAUUUAAGUUCAGUUAAUCAUAUUACUUAAGAACUCCCACUUAGAUAGACAUCCCUCUAAUCAUCUAAGUGAUCACGUGAUCCGUAUCAACUAAACCACGUCCGAUCAUCACAUGAGAUGGAGUAUAUUUCAAUGGUGAACAUCACUAUGUUGAUCAUAUCUACUGGCUUGCACCCGUUGUAUGUGAACGUAGAGCUUAUCACACCCAAUCAUCACAUGGUGUCUCGGCACGACGAACUAUCGCAACGGUGCAUACUCAGGGAGAACACGUAUACCUUGAAAUUUUAGUAAGGGAUCAUCUCAUAAUGCUACCGUCGUACUAAGAAAAAUAAGAUGCAUAAAAGAUAAAUAUCACAUGCAAUCAAAAUAAGUGAUAUGAUAUGGCCAUCAUCAUCUUGUACCUUUGAUCUCCAUCUCCAAAGCACCUUCAUGAUCACCAUCAUCACCGGCUUGACACCUUGAUUUCCAUCGAAGCAUCGUUGUCGUCUCGCCAACUAUUGCUUCUACGACUAUCGCUACCGCUUAGUGAUAAAGUAAAGCAAUUACAUGGCGAUUGCAUUUCAUACAAUAAAGCAACAACCAUAUGGCUCGUGCCAGUUGCCGAUAACUGUGUUACAAAACAUGAUCAUCUCAUACAAUAAAAUUUAGCAUCAUGUCUUGACCAUAUCACAUCACAACAUGCCCUGCAAAAACAAGUUAGACGUCCUCUACUUUGUUGUUGCAAGUUUUACGUGGCUGCUACGGGCUUGAGCAAGAACCGUUCUUACCUACGCAUCAAAAACCACAACGCGGUAUAGUGAUUGCUUUUUGAUAUUCAGAAAGAACCACGUUCGUUGAAUCCGAUUCAACUAAAGUUGGAGAAACUGACACCCACCAGCCACCUGUGUGCGAAGCACGUCGGUAGAACCAGUCUUGCGUAAGCGUACGCGUAAUGCCAGUCUGGGCCGCUUCAUCCAACAAUACCGUCGAAUCGGUAAACAACUAGUGACGGCAAGCAAUAUGUAUAUACCCACGCCCACAACUCCUUUGUGUUCUACUCAUGCAUAUAACAUCUACGCAUAAACCUGGCUCGGAUGCCACUGUUGGGGAACGUAGUAAUUUCAAAAACAUUCCUACGCACACGGAAGAUCAUGGUGAUGCAUAGCAACGAGAGGGGAUAGUGUUGUCCACGUACCCUCGUACACCGUAAGCGGAAGCAUUAUGACAACGCGGUUGAUGUAGUCGUACGUCUUCACGAUCGACCGAUCCAAGUACCAAAAGUACGGCACCUCCGCGACCUGCACACGUUCGGCUCGGUGAUGUCCCAUGAACUCAUGAUCCAGCAGAGUGUUGAGGGAGAGCUUCGUCAGCACGACGGCGUGAUGACGGUGAUGAUGAUGCUACCGGAACAGGGCUUCGCCUAAGCAUCGCUACGAUAUGACCAAGGUUGAUUAUGGUGGAGGGGGGCACCGCACACGGCUAGGAACAAUCAACUUGUGUGUCCUAGGGUGCCCCUGCCCCCUUAUAUAAAGGAGCAAGGGGGAAGGCCGGCCGGCCCUAGUGGCGCACCAAGGGAGGAGGAAUCCUCCUCCUAGUAGGAGUAGGAUUCCUCCUUUCCUAGUCCUACUAGGAGGAGAAGGGAAAGGAAGGAAGGGAGAGGAAGCGGAGAAGGAAAGGGGGCGCCCCCCCCUCCCUAGUCCAAUUCGGACUCCCUAUAGGGAUGGGGCGCGGCUGCCCCUUGUGGGCUUCCUCCCCUCUUCCCUAUGGCCCAUGAAGGCCCAACUUUCCCCCGGGGGGGGGGGGGAUCCGGUAACCCUCUAGCACUCCGGUUUUCUCCAAAAUGACCUGGAACACUUCCGGUGUCCGAAUAUAGCCGUCCAAUAUAUCAAUCUUUAUGUAUCGACCAUUUCGAGACUCCUCGUCACGUCCAUGAUCAUAUUCGGGACUCCAAACUACCUUCAGUACAUCAAAACACAUAAACUCAUAAUACCGAUCAUCACCGAAUGUUAAGCGUGCGAACCCUACGGGUUCGAGAACUAUGUAGACAUGACCGAGACACGUCUCCGGUCAAUAACCAAUAGCAUAACCUGGAUGUACAUAUUGGCUCCCACAUAUUCUACGAAGAUCUUUAUCGGUCAAACCGCAUAACAAUAUACGUUGUUCCCUUUGUCAUCGGUAUGUUACUUGCCCGAGAUUCGAUCGUCGGUAUCCCAAUACCUAGUACAAUCUCGUUACCCGCAAGUCUCUUUACUUGCUCCUAAUGCAUCAUUGCUAUCUCUUGAGCACCGCGUUGGUUUUCCCUUGAAGAGGAAAGGGUGAUGCAGCAAAGUAGCGUAAUAUUUCCCUCAGUUUUUGAGAACCAAGGUAUCAAUCCAGUAGGAGACUACACGCAAGCCACCUCGCACCUACACAAACAAAUAAGAACCUCGCAACCAACGAAAUAAAGGGGUUGUCAAUCCCUUCACGGUCACUUACGAGAGUGAUAUCUGAUAGAGAUAAUAAGAUAAAUAUGUUUGGUAUUUUUAUGAUAUAGAUUGGAAAAUAAAGAUUGCAAAAUAAAAUAGAUUGGAAACUUAUAUGAUGGAAAAUAGACCCAGAGGCCAUAGGUUUCACUAGUGGCUUCUCUCAAGAUAGCGUAGGUAUUACGAUGGGUAAACAAAUUACUGUCGAGCAAUUGAUAGAAAAGUGCAUAAUUAUGAGAAUAUCUAGGCAUGAUCAUGUAUAUAGGCAUCACGUCCGUGACAAGUAGACCGAAAUGAUUCUGCAUCUACUACUAUUACUCGACACAUUGACCGCUAUCCAGCAUGCAUCUAGAGUAUUAAGUUCAUAAGAACAGAGUGAUGCAUUCGGCAAGAUGACAUGAUGUAGAGGGAUAAACUCAAGAAAUAUGAUAUAAACCCCAUCUUUUUAUCCUUGAUGGCAACAAUACAAUACGUGCCUUGUUGCCCCUGCUGUCACUGGGAAAGGACACUGCAAGAUUGAAACCAAAGCUAAGCACUUCUCCCAUUGCAAGAAAGAUCAAUCUAGUAGGCCAAACCAAACUGAUAAUUCGAAGAGACUUGCAAAGAUAACAAAUCAUACAUAAAAGAUUUCAGAGAAGAAUCAAAUAUUGUUCAUAGAUAAACUUGAUCAUAAACCCACAAUUCAUCGGAUCUCGACAAACACACCGCAAAAAGAGUUACAUCAAAUAUAUCUCCAAGAAGAUCGAGGAGAACAUUGUAUUGAGAUCCAAAGAGAGAGAAGAAGACAUCUAGCUAAUAACUAUGGACCCCAAGGUCUAAGGUAAACUACUCACACAUCAUCGGAGGGGCCAUGGAGUUGAUGUAGAGACCCUCCGUGAUCGAUUCCCCCUCCGGCGGAGCUCCAGAAAAGGCCCCGAGAUGGGAUCUCUUGGGUACAGAAGGUUGCGGCGGUGGAAAUAGGGUUUUGUGGUGCUCCUGGAUGUUUUUGGGGUAUAUGAAUAUAUAUAGGAGGAAGAAGUAGGUCGGUGGAGCCAGGAAGGGCCCACGAGGGUGGGGGCGCGCCCAGGGGGCACGCGCGCCUCCCUACCUUGUGGCUUCCUUGCUGGUUGCUUGACGUCCACUAGAAGUCCCCUGGACCACGUUUGUUCCAAAAAUUAACUCUCCCGAAGGUUUUAUUCUGUUUGGAUUCCGUUUGAUAUUCCUUUUCUGCGAAACACUAAAAUAGGCAAAAAACAGCAAUUUGCACUGGGCCUUGGGUUAGUAGGUUAGUCCCAAAAAUAAUAUAAAAGUGUAUAAUAAAGCCCAUUAAACAUCCAAAAUAUAUAAUAUAAUAGCAUGGAACAAUCGAAAAUUAUAGAUACGUUGGAGACGUAUCAAGCAUCCCCAAGCUUAAUUCCUGCUCGUUCUCGAGUAGGUAAAUGAUAAAAGCAGAAUUUUUAUGUGGAAUGCUACCUAGCAUAAUUCCCAAUGUAAUUUUCUUUAUUGUGGCAUGAAUAUUCAGAUCCAAAAGAUUCAAGACAAAAAGUUUAAUAUUGACAUAAAAAUAAUAAUACUUCAAGCAUACUAACUACGCAAUCAUGUCUUCUCAAAAUAACAUCGCCAAAGAAAUUUCAUCCCUACAAAAUCAUAUAGUUUGGUCAUGCUCCAUUUUUGUCACACAAGAAUGCUCUCAUCAUGCACAACCCCGAUGACAAUCCAAUCAAUUGUUUCAUACUUUAGUAAUCUCAAACUUUUUUCAACUUUCACGCAAUACAUGAGCGUGAGCCAUGGAUAUAGCACUAUGUGUGGAAUACAAUAUAAUGAUGGGGGUUAUGUGGAGAAGACAAAAAGGGAGAAAGUCUCACAUUGACGCGGCUAAUCAACGGGCUAGGGAGAUGCCCAUCAAUUGAUGUCAAUGCAAGGAGUAGGGAUUGCCAUGCAACGGAUGCACUAGAGAUAUAAAUGUAUGCAAGCUCAACAAAAGAAACUAAGUGGGUGUGCAUCCAACUUGCUUGCUCACGAAGACCUAGGGCAUUUGAGGAAGCCCAUUGUUGGAAUAUACAAGCCAAGUUCUAUAUGAAAAAUUGCCACUAGUAUAUGAAAGUGACAAAACAAGAGACUCUCUAUCAUAAAGAUCAUGGUGCUACUUUGAAGCACAAGUGUGGAAAAAGGAUAGUAGCAUUGUCCCUUUUUAUCUUUUUUUUUCUUUUUUUUUCUUUUUUUUGUUGGGACUUUCUUUUUUUAUUUGGCCUUCCCCUUUUUUAUUUGGGACAAUGCUCUAUUAAUGAUGAUCAUCACACUUCUAUUUAUUUACAACUCAAUGAUUACAACUCGAUACUAGAACAGAAUAUGACUCUGUAUGAAUGCCUCCGGCGGUGUAUCGGGAAGGGCAAUGAAUCAAGAGUGACAUGUAUGAUAAAUUAUGCAUGGUGGCUUUGCCACAAAUACGAUGUCAACUACAUGAUCAUGCAAGGCAAUAUGACAAUUAUGAAGCGUGUCAUAAAUGAAACGGUGGAAAGUUGCAUGGCAAUAUAUCUCGGAAUGGCUAUGGAAAUGCCAUAAUAGGUAGGUAUGGUGGAUGUUUUGAGGAAUAUAUAAGGAGAUUUAUGUGUGAUAGAGCGUAUCAUAUCACGGGGUUUGGAUGCAUCGGCGAAGUUUGCACCACCUCUCAGGGUGAGACAGGGCAAUGCACGGUACCGAAGAGGCUAGCAAUGAUGGAAAGGUGAGAGUGUGUAUAAUCCAUGGACUCAACAUUAGUCAUAAAGAACUCACAUAUUAUUGCAAAAAUCUACAAGUCAUCAAAAACCAAGCCUUACGCACAUGCUCCUAGGGGGAUAGAUUGGUAGGAAAAGACCAUCGCUCGUCCCCGACCGCCACUCAUAAGGAAGACAAUCAAAGAACACCUCGUGUUUCAAAUUUGUUACACAACGGUUACCAUACGUGCAUGCUACGGGACUUGCAAUCUUCAACACAAGUAUUUCUCAAAUUCACAACUACUCAACUAGCACAACUCUAAUAUCACCAUCUUUAUAUCUCAAAACAAUUAUCAAGUAUCAAACUUCUCAUAGUAUUUAAUGCACCUUUUUAUGCAAGUUUUUAUUAUACCAAUCUUGGAUGCCUAUUAUAUUAGGACCAAUUUUAUAGCCAAAGUAAAUUACCAUGCUGUUCUAAAGGACUCUCAAAAUAAUAUAAGUGAAGCAUGAGAGAUCAAUAAUUUCUAUAAAUUAAAACCACCACCGUGCUCUAAAAGAUAUAAGUGAAGCAUUAGAGCAAAAUUAUCUAGCUCAAAAGAUAUAAGUGAAGCAUAUAGAGUAUUCUAAUAAAUUUCGAUUCAUGUGUGUCUCUCCCAAAAGGUGUGUAAAGCAAGGAUGGUUGUGGUAAACUAAAAAGCAAAGACUCAAAUCAUACAAGACGCUCCAAGCAAAACACAUAUCAUGGGGUGAAUAAAAAUAUAGCCUCAAGUAAAGUUACCGAUGGACAAAGAUGAAAGAGGGGAUGCCCCGGCAUCCCCAAGUUUAGGCUUUUGGUUUUCCUUGAAUUUACCUUGGGGUGCCUUGGGCAACCCCAAACUUAGGCUCUUUCCACUCCUUAUUCCAUAAUCCAUCAAAUCUUGACCCAAAACUUGAAAACUUCACAAGACAAAACUCAACAGAAAAUCUCAUGAGCUCCAUUAGUAUUAGAAAACAAACCACCACUUAAGGUGAUGUAAUGAAAUAAUUCUUUAUUUAUAUUGGUGUUAAACCUACUUUAUUACAACUUCUCUAUGGUUCAUACCCUCCGAUACUAGCCAUAGAUUCAUCAAAAUAAGCAAACAACACACGAAAAACAGAAUCUGUCAAAAACAGAACAGUCUGUAGUAAUCUAUAGGUUUCGAAUACUUAUAUAACCCCAAAAAUUCUGAAAUAAAUUGGCGGACGUGAGUAAUUUGUCUAUUAAUCAUCUGCAAAAAGAAUCAACCUAAUAUCACUCUCCCGUAAAAAAAUGACAGCAAAUCUCGUGGGCGCUAAAGUUUCUGUUUUUUACAGCAAGAUCGCAAAAACUUCCCCCAAGUCUUCCCAAAGGUUCUACUUGGCACAAACACUAAUUAAAAGCAUAAAACCACAUCUAAAUAGAGGCUAGAUGAAUUAUUAAUUACUAAACAGGAACAAAAGGCAAGAAACAAAAAUAAAAUUGGGUUGCCUCCCAACAAGCGCUAUCGUUUAACGCCCCCUAGCUAGGCAUAAAUAAUUUCAAUGAUGCUCACAUGAAAGACAAGAAUUUAAGCACAAAGAGAGCAUCACGAAACACGUGAAGAACACAUCUAAGUCUAACAUACUUCCUAUGCAUAAAAAUCUUAAAGGCAAACAAAUUAUCAUAGCAAGCAAAAAUUAGCAUAUGCAAGGAAGCGGAAAGAAACAAUAGCAAUCUCAACAUAACAAGAGGUAAUUUAGUAACAUGAAAAUUUCUACAAUCAUAUUUUGCUCUCUCAUAAUAAUUACAUGUGGGAUCAUAAGCAAAUUCAACAAAAUAGCUAUCACAUAAAAUAUUUUCAGCACGAUCCACAUGCAUGCAAAGUUGACACUCUUCCAAAAUAGUGGGAUUAACAUUAACUAAAGUCAUGACCUCUCCAAACCCACUUUUAUCAAAAAAUUCAUAAGAUUGAACAUUCUCCAAAUUUGUGGGAUCUAAAGUUAACACUCUUCCAAACCCACUUUCAAUAAUAUUGCAAACACUAUUAUCAAUCUCAUAUUCAUCAUGGGGCUUAAAUAAAUUUUCAAGAUCAAAAGAAGAAUCACCCCAAUCAUGAUCAUUGCAACAAGUAGUAGACAUAGCAAAACUAGCAUCCCCAAUCUUAGGGUUUUUCAUAUUAUUAGCACAAUUGACAUCAAUAGAAUUUAUAGUAAAAUCAUUGCAAUCUUGCUUUUGAUUCAAGGAACUAUCAAGUAUGGGUGCAAUAGCAAUAAUCUCGUGUUUAACAUAAGGAACUAUAGCAAAUUCAUCUCCAUAAAUAUUGGCAUCAUGGCUAUAAGAAUAGCAAGCAUCAUGUUCAUCAAGGGAUAUUUCAAUCAAAUCAUCGGAAUCAUAAUUAUCUAUAGAUUCGUGCAUAUCAUUAUUUUCUUCCAAGGCAACAGUCAUUCUCUCAAUAAAUUCUUUGACAUAGACAUUAUGAGGAUAGUUUUCAUAGCAAUAUUUAAGUGUGUCAAAAUUUUCCGAUUCGUAGAGAGUACUAUCAUACUUUCCGAUCAAAGAAGCAGCUUCAUAAGCACACUUAAAAGCAACAAAUUCUUCAAUUUGUUCGAUAUCGUAGUAACUAUAAACACCCUUUGCAUAAGAAGAUAAGAUUUAAUUUUCAUUAAACUCACAUAGGUAGGGAAGGUGUUUUUUAGGGUUCUUAGAGUAACAAGUAAAAUCACAAAUUUCACAAAGAUUCCAAGCAUAACACAGCAAUCUGUUUAUUUGAUCCCAUAAGAUUUUCCCUUUUUCAGACAAAAACGGUGACGCACAAAAUGAGCAUGCUCAUCUAAAGAUUUCCCAUCAACUAGGCUAGUUGGGGUUUCAGCACAAGCGUAUAAGGACCGAAGAUGAUCCAUGUAGAACACUUUAAGUGGAUCCAUAUCAAUAGAUUUUUAGUGAGCAAAGAUGCAAGCAAAUAGAAGGCACGUGGAAACACAAACAAAAAGACAUACGGGAAGAGGGCGAAUGGAAAAGAGGGCGGAUAAAACGGCAAGGGUGAAGUGGGGGAGAGGAAAACGAGAGGCAAAUGUCAAAUAAUGUAAUGCGAGGGCUAAGAGUUUGUGAUAGUGAAAGUGCAACUAUCCCUAGGUGGUUUUGGUAAUUCAUAACAACAUAUAGCUCAUUGAGCUAAUGCUAUUCCAAGAUGACUAUUUCAGGAAAGCUCAAUGAUUGGCAUGGCAUGGAUGUGAAAGUGGAACCCUCAAAAUGCUAAGGACAAAGGAUUGGCUCAAGCUCAAAAGCUCAAGACUCUUCAUUUUAUAUUUUAGUGAUCCAAGAUCACAUUGAGUCUUUAGGAAAAGCCAAUACUAUCAAGGAGGGAUGAGGUGUUGCUUAAUGAGCCUCUUGCUUCAUGUGCUUAGUGAUAUGCUCCAAAACCCUCAACUACUUUCCCAUAUCCACAUAUGAUCUAAACCCUAAGCCAAACUCGGUCCUACCAAUUCUUUCUAUCCGGCGCCACCGAGUUUCACUUGUCAUAAGCCACUGCCAAACCCUAGCAAUUCGGUUCUACCGAUAGGGAUCUCGGUCUCACCGAGAUGGGAUUGCAAACUCUCUGUUUCCCUUUCGUAACUUUUCGGUCUCACCGAAAGAGCAAAUCGGUCCCACCGAGAUUGCAGUGUAAACUCUAUGUUUCCUUUUUGUAACUUUUCGGUCUCACCGAAAUAGCAAAUCGGUCCCAUCGAGUUUACCUGACCAACUCUCUGGUUAGCUUAUUACCAAACUCGGUCUCACCGAGUUUGUGUAAUCGGUCUCACCGAGAUUACGUUAUGCCCAAACCCUAACCAUAUCGGUCCUACCGAGUUGCAUGUCAGUCCCACCAAAAAUCUCUAACGGUCACUAGGUUUACCUUUUCGGUCCGACCGAGUUUGUUGAUUCGGUCCCACCGAGAUUGGAAAACUGUGUGUAACGGUUGGAUUUUGUGUGGAGGCUAUAUAUACCCCUCCACCUCCUCUUCAUUCAUGGAGAGAGCCAUCAGAACACAUACACAAUUCCAACUCAUAUGUUCUGAGAGAGAACCACCUACUCAUGUGUUGAGACCAAGAUAUUCCAUUCCUACCAUAUGAAUCUUGAUCUCUAGCCUUCCCCAAGUUGCUUUCCACUCAAAUCUUCUUUCCACAAAAUCCAAAUCCUAUGAGAGAGAGUUGAGUGUUGGGGAGACUAUCAUUUGAAGCACAAGAGCAAGGAGUUCAUCAUCAACACACCAUUUGUUACUUUUUGGAGAGUGGUGUCUCUUAGAUUGGCUAGGUGUCACUUGGGAGCCUCCGACAAGAUUGUGGAGUUGAACCAAGGAGUUUUUAAGGGCAAGGAGAUCGCCUACUUCGUGAAGAUCUACCGCUAGUGAGGCAAGUCCUUCAUGGGCGAUGGCCAUGGUGGGAUAGACAAGGUUGCUACUUCGUGGACCCUUCAUGGGUGGAGCCCUCUGUGGACUCGCGCGACCGUUACCCUUCGUGGGUUGAAGUCUCCAUCAACGUGGAUGUAGGAUAGCACCACCUAUCCGAACCACGGGAAAAACAUCCGUGUCUCCAAUUGCGUUUAAAUUCUCCAAACCCUUCCCUUUACAUUCUUGCAAGUUGCAUGCUUUACUUUCCGCUGCCAAUAUACUCUUUGCAUGCUUGCUUGAAUUGUGUGAUGAUUGCUUGACUUGUCCUACAAUAGCUAAAAUCUGCCAAGAACUAAAAUUGGUAAAAGGUUAAGUUUUUAUUUGGUCAAGUAGUCUAAUCACCCCCCCCCCCUCUAGACAUACUUUCGAUCCUACAAGUGGUAUCAGAGCUUUGGUCUCCAUUUGCUUUGAUCUCCAUAGCUUUUGGUGGUCAUAGCCUUGGUUUCACAACCUAGGAGAGUAUGGCGUCUAGCGAGGGAAAUUAUCACCGUAGAGGUCCUUACUUUGAUGGUACUAAUUUUGCUAGUUGGAAGCAUAAAAUGAAAAUGCAUAUUCUUGGACAUAACCUCGCCGUUUGGGCUAUUGUGUGUGUUGGUUUGCAAGGUGACUUCUUUGAUGGGAAAGAACCAAACCGUGAAGCUACCGCGAAUGAGUUGAAGAUGUUGCAAUACAAUGCUCAAGCUUGUGAUAUUCUCUUCAACGGAUUGUGCCCCGAAGCAUUCAACAAAAUCAGCCACCUUGAGAAUGCAAAGGAAAUUUGGGACACUUUGAUUGAUAUGCACGAAGGUACCGACUCCGUCAAGGAAUCCAAGUUUGAUGUGCUUCAAAGUCAACUUGACAAGUUCAAAAUGAAGGAUGGUGAAGGUGUCGCUGAAAUGUACUCUAGGCUUGCUCUCAUCACAAAUGAGAUUGCCGGCUUAGGAAGUGAAGAGAUGACCGAUAGAUUCAUCAUCAAGAAGAUUCUAAGAGCCUUGGAUGGAAAAUAUGAUACCGUGUGCACAUUGAUCCAAUUGAUGCCCAAUUACAAAGAUCUCAAGCCAACGGAGGUGAUUGGAAGAAUUGUUGCUCAUGAGAUGUCACUUAAGGAUAAAGAGGAACUUCACAACAAAUCAAGUGGUGCCUACAAAGCCUCAUGUGAAGCCCCUACAUCAUCAAGUGAGAAACAAAACUUCAAUGAAGAAUUGAGCUUAAUGGUGAAGAACUUCAACAAGUUCUACAAGAGUAGAAGCAAAGAUAGAAGCUUCAAGUCAAGGUCCUACAAUGACAAAAGAUCUUCUAGUCGAGAGCGAAACUACUACAGUUGUGGAAGACCCGGACACUAUUCCAAUGAGUGUACGGCUCCCUACAAGAGAAGAGAAGAUUCUCCAAAAAGAAGAAGCAAAGAAUCACCACCAAGAGAGAGAAGGAGUAGAGAUGAUCGUUAUGAACGAAGAUACUCACGGAGAAGCAAGGAUUCGGAAAGGAAGGAAAAUCAUCAAGGAGCUACACAAAACGAAGACAUCAAGCUCAUGUUGGUGAAUGGGUAUCCGGCUCCGACUCCGACAGCCACUCCGAGAGAAGUUAUCACUCCGACUCCGAAGAUACUCAAGAUGAAGGUGUUGCCAGUCUAGCAAUUGUGUCAACCAACUCCUACGACAUAUUUGACUCACCAAAUGAAGGAAUUGGAAGAUGCUUCAUGGCCAAAGAUCCUAAGGUAACACACCCCGAGUAUGUUGAUUUCAACAGUGAUGAAGAUGACUUGUUAGGUGAUGAUUUGCUUGUUGACAACUCUAGUGAUGAAUACUAUGAUGAAACGUCAAUUAAUCAUGCUAAUCAAGAUAAAACGAAUGACAAUGAUAAGGAGAAGAUUGAGGCUCUAACUAAAGAACUAAACACUCUUAAGUUAGCUCAUGAAACUAUCUUCGAAGAUCAUCGAGAACUUUUAAGAGCUCAUGAGAAAUUACGCUUUGAAAAUCUCAAUCUUGAGCAAGAGCAUGAGUUCUUAAAAGCAAUCAAUGAUGAUCUCUGCAAGAAAAGUUCUUCUUACAUUGCCAAGCGUUUACUCUUAUCCACUUACAUGCCUCAAGUCAAGUCUAGUAACAAGAACAAGAAAGAUUCUUCCUCUAGCAGUAACAAUGAUCAUGCUAAAUCCAAUAUUGUUGCUUCUAGUAGUUCUCUUGAUUCCACUAAUGAUUCUCUUAGCCAAGUUACACUUGAGCAAGAAAAUAGCUUAUUGAAGGGAAUUAUAGAGAAAGGAGUGUACAAAAGCCUUGCCGGGAGUAAGCAAUUCAAGGAAAUUGUGCACAAGCAAGGAAUGCACCGGAAGAAUCAAGGUGUUGGUUUUGAACGAAAGUUCAAUGCCAAUGGAGUUGAGUGGGAAGAAGAUCAAUACCCCAAGACAAAGUUUGUUCCUCAACAAGAGAAGUAUGAUACUUCUUUCAAGGGGACACAAGCUCAAGAUGAUCUUCCACCACAAGACUACAAGCAAAAAGGCAAGGACAAGCUUCAAGAGGAAAUUGAUGCAUUUGAAGAAGCUCCUAAGACCUUAGUCAAGUGGAUUCCCAAGACUACUUCAAGUUCCACUUCAUCAAGUACGACUACAACUCCAAGGAUUCCCAUCAAGAUGGUGUGGAUCCAAAAGAAGAAGAACUAGAGAGUUCUUGAGGGUGACUCCGCCAACAAACUUCACUCUUAUCAUUUUGGCAAGAACAAGUGCAAUCAACUUCCACAUCUUGCACUAGUUCAAGGAGUCACAAACCCUCUUGUUGGUAAGACAAGGGACAAGGUAACCUAAAAGUUUUCAUGGACAUCAUCUUGUGUGUGCAUCACUCUAUGUCUAUGGAUAUCCUUGUUUGUUCCUUGUGGGACUAACCCAUGUAGGUAUUGAAAGUGCAAUUCACUCAAAUGGAUAGCUCCAAGUGAUCUACAUCAACAUUGAGCAUCCACAUCUUCAACAUCUACAUGAAGUCAUCAUCGACAAAACCCGAGGUUAGUUCAUCCCUCUAAGGGGGGAUAUCACAUCUAGGGGGAGCUUUACUCUAAGACUUGAGCUAAAGCCACUCUAAAGAUGUGAACACAACAAUGCUUUAUGUAAAAGUGGUAACCCCACUUGAGCUUAAACGGUGAGUAUGACCUAUGAUCAAGUGUUCUCACUUGACUCCUAAGUCAAUAUACUCAUAUAUAGAUGACCUUGUCAUCGCAAAUUGCUUGAUAGAUGCUAGAAUUGUUUGUGCAUGCCUUGUCACAUAUUUCAUUUGCCAUCUUAUUGUGUGAGCAUGCUGGUUGCAUAUUUUACUCAUUCGAGGACAUCCACUUGUUGUUUUGAUUGUUUGGUUUUAUUUCCUUUUGCCAAGUGGAUGGACAAGAAUGCCUAAGAACCUCCUCUAGCUAUCUAUGCUUUUCUCGUCUCAAACUCUAUUCAUGCUACAUCACAAAAUUUGAUCGAGUCAGAUUCGAACCACUCUGUGUGAGGAGUGCUCGGAGUCCCUGAUUCGUCAUAGACUUAAACUUCCAAAACCUCUUUAUGAUUCUUGGUCUGACCGAUACCCUACUUUCGGUCCUACCGAGAUCAUUAAGUUGAUCUAGGUUUUCGAUCUCGGUGCAACCGAUUUGAACCAUUCGGUCACACCGAGUUGCAACAAUUGUAUACAGUUUUGCAUCUCGGUGCCACCGAGUUGUUCCACUCGGUCACACCGACAGGGUCGGGCUAUAUAUAGUCACGGGCAAAAAUUUGGAAAUUUCUCCGAACCCCUUCACCCGCCCGAUAGCCUGCUCUGCCAACUUGGUCUCCGGAUCGUCUCCUCGCCGCCAGCCGCCUCCAGUCGCUGGUCUCCAUCGCCGUCAACAGAAAUUCAGCCCCGCCGUUGCCGCCGUAGCGAGUCUCCGCCGAACUAGGGUAUGGACUCGAUCUUUGUGCUAUUCCCCAAUCCGAUUCUUAGCACAUUGUGAUCAUCAUGAUUCUUGCCACGUUUGUUAAACUUCUAUCCAGUCAAUGAACUCGUAGAUUAGGUUUAAUUCGAAAAUUUUAGGGUUAGGUUUCCGCCGAAACCAUCUCGGACCCACCGAGUUGAAAAACUCGGUCCCACCGAUUUGGCUCAUGCCAUUGCACAAGUGAGACUCGGUCUGACCGAGAAUUACUUAUCGGUGUGACCGAUUUUGGAACUCUGUGAAACCCUAGCAGUCUCGGUGCCACCAAACUGUGACUCGGUCUGACCGAGUUCACUAGUUUAGGUGCCAAAACUGCUUCGGUAUCACCGAGUUUAGAAAUCGGUAGAUCCGAGAUGCUUUCAGUGGGAAACUAAAACUAAGUUUUUGAAUUAUUCUUUUGCAAAAAUCUCUGCAUUUUGUGAUGCUUAUCCACUCUAUCUCAUCUAUAACCUAUUCACAGGGUCAGCAGUCAGAGUUUGCAUCAUGUCAGACCAAAGUGAUAGCCAGAACUUGUCAGAGCAGCAAGUGCAGAUGAGUGAGGGCACUAGUCCCUCAAGUUCCUCAGAUGAUGGCAGCAGGAGCACCCCUAGCAAUCUGCCUAAAGCUGCCACAAGACAGAGAAAGAAGAGAACCUCAGACUCAGAAGAUGAGGAUUAUGUGGCAGAAGAGGAAGCAACUUCCAAGAGAGUUGAGCCAGCACAGGGCAUAAAACCAGGGAUGAAGAUCAAAAGGCCAGCAGGCAGGCAGCCUAUGUCAAAGGCUAGAGCUUCAACUGAGAAGCCCACUCCCAUUGAGCCAGUUGCUGCUGAAGGCAAGAAGAGGAAAGAAAGGGUGAAGAAAACUGUAGCCAGAGUGCUUGGCAAGGCUUCCAUCAUGGAAGAUGAGGAGGAAGAAGAAGAGGUAGCUGCACCAGCACCUAAGGCACCCAAGCUGAUGGGUGAUGCCAUAAGAACAGGGGCAGCUGCUUCCAAGGCCAAGCCAGCUCCAAAGCCAAAGCCAAAGAGGAACACAAGAAGCAUCCCAGCUACUGAGAAGAACAAGGCCCCAGUGCCUGAAGCUGCAGAAGAAGAAGAAGAAGAGAAUGUUCUUAGAAAGCUCAAGCCCAAGAUCCCAGACCACAACGAUGCUCAUCCUGUGGCUGAGGAUAUGAAACUCAGGAGAGAUUCCGGACUCCACCACCACCUGAAGAUCAAGCCUGAGUGUCGACUUAGCACUAUGCAUUUUCUAGGAACUUUUUGGUAACUUGUUGCCAAAGGGGGAGAAAAUUUAUAGAUCAUAGGCUUCGAGAGAGAGUGUUGCUUUUAUUCUCUCUUGUUUUAUUUGGUGGUUUUUCGAACUUUGUUUGCUUUUGUGUGAGAUACUAUGUCAUUGCUCAUGAGACAUUGAUGAUCAUGUGUUUGAUCAUAAGCUACACUUAAUGUUUGCUUAAUAUUAUCAUCUUAUCUAUCUUAUGUGAUCAUUCACUAUUCUUGGUGAUGAGUGCACGUAUUUCAUUCUUAUCAUUUUAAGCGCUCCACCAAGAUGUAUGUGACAUGGAAGAGUAACCCAUGACUCUAACUCUUUGUGCAUUUGCAGUCCAAAGCAAAUUUUAAAUAUGCACAAAUUUAGGGGGGGCUCUUACUUGUCACAUACUUCUCAAAGCGACGAUAUAUUUCAUGCUUAUUAUCAUUUGUCGAAGCUUUGAUCUAUAUGUUGUCAUCAAUUACCAAAAAGGGGGAGAUUGAAAGUGCAACUAUCCCUAGGUGGUUUUGGUAAUUCAUAACAACAUAUAGCUCAUUGAGCUAAUGCUAUUCCAAGAUGACUAUUUCAGGAAAGCUCAAUGAUUGGCAUGGCAUGGAUGUGAAAGUGGAACCCUCAAAAUGCUAAGGACAAAGGAUUGGCUCAAGCUCAAAAGCUCAAGACUCUUCAUUUUAUAUUUUAGUGAUCCAAGAUCACAUUGAGUCUUUAGGAAAAUCCAAUACUAUCAAGGAGGGAUGAGGUGUUGCUUAAUGAGCCUCUUGCUUCAUGUGCUUAGUGAUAUGCUCCAAAACCCUCAACUACUUUCCCAUAUCCACAUAUGAUCUAAACCCUAAGCCAAACUCGGUCCUAUCGAUUCUUUCUAUCCGACGCCACCGAGUUUCACUUGUCAUAAGCCACUGCCAAACCCUAGCAAUUCGGUUCUACCGAUAGGGAUCUCGGUCUCACCGAGAUGGGAUUGCAAACUCUCUGUUUCCCUUUCGUAACUUUUCGGUCUCACCGAAAGAGCGAAUCGGUCCCACUCAGAUUGCAAUGUAAACUCUAUGUUUCCUUUUUGUAACUUUUCGGUCUCACCGAAAUAGCAAAUCGGUCCCACCGAGUUUACCUGACCAACUCUCUGGUUAGCUUAUUACCAAACUCGGUCUCACCGAGUUUGUGUAAUCGGACUCACCGAGAUUACGUUAUGCCCAAACCCUAACCAUAUCGGUCCUACCGAGUUGCAUGUCAGUCCCACCGAAAAUCUCUAACGGUCACUAGGUUUACCUUUUCGGUCCGACCGAGUUUGUUGAUUCGGUCCCACCGAGAUUGGAAAACUGUGUGUAACGGUUGGAUUUUGUGUGGAGGCUAUAUAUACCCCUCCACCUCCUCUUCAUUCGUGGAGAGAGCCAUCAGAACACAUACAUAAUUCCAACUCAUAUGUUCUGAGAGAGAACCACCUACUCAUGUGUUGAGACCAAGAUAUUCCAUUCCUACCAUAUGAAUCUUGAUCUCUAGCCUUCCCCAAGUUGCUUUCCACUCAAAUCUUCUUUCCACAAAAUCCAAAUCCUAUGAGAGAGAGUUGAGUGUUGGGGAGACUAUCAUUUGAAGCACAAGAGCAAGGAGUUCAUCAUCAACACACCAUUUGUUACUUCUUGGAGAGUGGUGUCUCCUAGAUUGGCUAGGUGUCACUUGGGAGCCUCCGACAAGAUUGUGGAGUUGAACCAAGGAGUUUGUAAGGGCAAGGAGAUCGCCUACUUCGUGAAGAUCUACCGCUAGUGAGGCAAGUCCUUCGUGGGCGAUGGCCAUGGUGGGAUAGACAAGGUUGCUACUUCGUGGACCCUUCGUGGGUGGAGCCCUCCGUGGACUCGCGCGACCGUUAACCUUCGUUGGUUGAAGUCUCCAUCAACGUGGAUGUAGGAUAGCACCACCUAUCCGAAUCACGGGAAAAACAUCCAUGUCUCCAAUUGCGUUUGAAUUCUCCAAACCCUUCCCUUUACAUUCUUGCAAGUUGCAUGCUUUACUUUCCGCUGCCAAUAUACUCUUUGCAUGCUUGCUUGAAUUGUGUGAUGAUUGCUUGACUUGUCCUACAAUAGCUAAAAUCUGCCAAGAACUAAAAUUGGGAAAAGGUUAAGUUUUUAUUUGGUCAAGUAGUCUAAUCACCCCCCUCCCUCUAGACAUACUUUCGAUCCUACAGAUAGGUACUUGGUAUGUCUUGACUUGUGCAUAGAUCUCCCCGGCAAUGGCACCAGAAAUCCUUCUUGCUACCUCUUGAGCACUGUGUUGGUUUUCCCUUGAAAAGGAAAGGGUGAUGCAGCAAAGUAGCAUAAGUAUUUCCCUCAGUUUUUGAGAACCAAGGCAUCAAUCCAGUAGGAGACUACACACAAGCCACCUCGCACCUACACAAACAAAUAAGAACCUCGCAACCAACACGAUAAAGGGGUUGUUAAUCCCUUCACGGUCACUUAUGAGAGUGAGAUCUGAUAGACAUAAUAAGAUAAAUAUUUUUGGUAUUUUUAUGAUAUAGAUUGGAAAAUAAAGAUUGCAAAAUAAAAUAGAUUAGAAACUUAUAUGAUGGAAAAUAGACCCGGGGGCCAUAGGUUUCACUAGUGGCUUCUCUCAAGAUAGCAUAGGUAUUACGGUGGGUAAACAAAUUACCGUCGAGCAAUUGGUAGAAAAGUGCAUAAUUAUGAGAAUAUCUAGGCAUGAUCAUGUAUAUAGGCAUCACGUCCGCGACAAGUAGACCGAAACGAUUCUGCAUCCACUACUAUUACUCCACACAUCGACCGCUAUCCAGCAUGCAUCUAGAGUAUUAAGUUUAUAAGAACAGAGUAAUGCAUUAGGCAAGAUGACAUGAUGUAGAGGGAUAAACUCAAGAAAUAUGAUAUAAACCCCAUCGUUUUAUCCUCGAUGGCAACAAUACAAUACAUGCAUCGUUGCCCCUGCUGUCACUGGGAAAGGACACCGCAAGAUUGAACCCAAAGCUAAGCACUUCUCCCAUUGCAAGAAAGAUCAAUCUAGUGGUCAAACCAAACUGAUAAUUCGAAGAGACUUGCAAAGAUAACAAAUCAUACAUAAAAGAUUUCAGAGAAGAAUCAAAUAUUGUUCAUAGAUAAACUUGAUCAUAAACCCACAAUUCAUCGGAUCUCGACAAACACACCGCAAAAAGAAUUACAUCGAAUAGAUCUCCAAGAAGAUCGAGGAGAACUUUGUAUUGAGAUCCAAAAAGAGAGAAGAAGCCAUCUAGCUAAUAACUAUGGACCCGAAGGUCUAUGGUAAACUACUCACACAUCAUCGGAGAGGCUAUGAUGUUGAUGUAGAAGCCCUCCGUGACCGAUUUCCCCUCCGGCGGAGCUCCGGAAAAGGCCCCAAGAUGGGAUCUUUUGGGUACAGAAGGUUGCGGCGGUGGAAAUAGGGUUUCGUGGUGCUCCUGGAUGUUUUCGGGGUAUAUGGAUAUAUAUAGGAGGAAGAAGUAGGUCGGUGGAGCUGCGAGGGGCCCACGAGGGUGGGGGUGCGCCUAGGGGGCAGGCGUGCCUCCCUUCCUUGUGGCUUCCUCGCUCCUUUCUUGGCGUCUACUCCAAGUCCCCUGGAUCACGUUUGUUCCAAAAAUAACUCUCCCGAAGGUUUCAUUCCGUUUGGAUUCCGUGUGAUAUUCCUUUUCUGCUAAACACUGAAAUAGGCAAAAAAAAACAGCAAUUUGCACUGGGCCUUGGGUUAGUAGGUUAGCCCCAAAAAUAAUAUAAAAGUGUAUAAUUAGGCCCAUUAAACAUCCAAAACAGAUAAUAUAAUAGCAUGGAACAAUCAAAAAUUAUAUAUACGUUGGAGACGUAUCAAUCAUCCCGCAACUAACUCAUUAGUCACAUUGCUUGCAAGGCUUAUAGUGAUGUGCAUUACCGAGAGGGCCCAGAGAUACCUCUCUGAUACUCGGGGUGACAAAUCCUAAUCUCGAUCUAUGCCAACUCAACAAACACCAUCGAAGACACCUGUAGAGCAUCAUUAUAGUCACCCAGUUACGUUGUGACGUUUGAUAGUACACAAAGUGUUCCUCCGGUAUUCGGGAGUUGCACGAUCUCAUAGUCAUAGGGACAUGUAUAAGUUAUGGAGAAAGCAAUAGCAACAAACUAAACGAUCAUCGUGCUAAGCUAACGGAUGGGUCAAGUCAAUCACAUCAUUCUUUAAUAAUGUGAUCCCUUUAAUCAAAUGACAACUCAUGUCUAUGGUCAGGAAACAUAACCAUCAUUGAUUCAACGAGCUAGUCAAGUAGAGGCAUACUAGUGACACUCAGUUUGUCUAUGUAUUCACACAUGUACUAAGUUUCCGGUUAAUACAAUUCUAGCAUGAAUAAUAAACAUUUAUCAUUAUAUAAGGAAAUAUAAAUAACAACUUUAUUAUUGCCUCUAGGGCAUAUUUCCUUCAACAACGCCCCCAAGAGGGAGAACGGCGCUAAGCAUCGCCGCUGCCGAGUCCACAACAGACAUAGGUUUUCACCCAGAACCCGGACAUGAAGAGAGGCUCCACGACGACGACUUCAGGAAGAUAACUGUCGCGACCGGUUUUCUGGGCUCUAAUUUCCAGAAAAGGGCCGUUGUGCUCACCAGCCCCAGGAUUACUGUUAGCUGAUGAGGCACCGACUUGUUACAGAAAUUCCAAGCAAAAGUGCAAAAUAUGUAGUACAAGACCAUUGUGGCCUAUGAGUACAUCAAAUGGUUUCUAGUGGUUGAGGGCGGAAGCGGUUUGUGGAUCACCACGGUCUAUGGGACUCCAUUUCCCACAGGAACAGCUAACCAGGUUAACUCCUAUCUUCGCGAGGCUGCUAUCACCGUUGCUUAGGUCCCGAGGCUGUCAUCGCCACGCUCCUCUCCAAGCAAGCAAUCUGGCCAAGACAAUAGCCAGGGACAAGCCAGUGAGUACUUUGAAUGUACUCGCAAACAUUAAGAACACAGGUAUAAUAUAAUUGAUCAACAUACACUGAAAUAUUCUAUGAUCACAUCGUCAGUCAUAAAUAAAAUCUUGAUGCAUGCAAGCAGGUUAUUUAUAUGCAACCGGAAUAUGCAAUGACAGAAUAGAAUAAAAUGCACCGAUCGGAUGCCUGAAGCGACGUCUCGAAAGGAUAGUAAAAGUGAGCAUGCCUCAGUCGGGCGUCUUAGCGACACCAUGUAAGGGGCUUAUAAAGUAAAUAAAAUAACAAGCAUGCCACAGUCGGGCGUCUGAGUGACGCCACAUAAAGGGCUUAUGAGAAAAUGAAAUAACAAACAUGCCUCAGUCGGGUGUCUGAGCGACGCCACAUAAAGGGCUUAUGAGAAAAUGGAAUAACAAACAUGCCACAGUCGGGCGUCUGAGCGACGCCACAUAAAGGGUUUAUAUGAAAAUGAAAUAACGAACAUGCCACAGUCGGGCGUCUGAGCGACGCCGCAUAAAGGGCUUAUAUGAAAAUGAAAUAAUGAACAUGCCACAGUCGGGCGUCUGAGCGACGCCGCAUAAAGGGCUUAUAAUCAUAGUGAAUAUCCAGGAGGUGGUACCGUCCCAGGGAUAUUCAUUAUUUCAAACAAUGCAAAUGGUUAGUCCAUAAUGAUAACAAUCAUAACCAUCAUAUAUCACAUGUCAUCAUCAAUAUUCGAGUUUAGUGUUUUCUCCUCCGAAGACCGACACUAAGACCGACACUUGACCCAUCCCAUACUGUAAUCCUUAACCAUGGACACGGCUAUUCGAAUAGGUUUAAUAUCUCUGCAGAGAGUGUACUCUUUACCCACGAGUAACGGAUUCCUUUAGUCCAUCGGACUAAUUCCGUCUACGGUCUUUUAAUUGAAACACACCUGACUUGCACACACCAGCUUUUACUCGUGUCUGGAAUCACCCAUGACACCUGUUAAGCAAAACUCUAAGUGGGGAGGCUACAACCUCGCGUAGCAUGGGAUCAAAUUUCUAUCGCGCGCUCUAAGGGGUGCCCCCCUCUCGGUCCCAACCGGAUACACCCAUGCCCCCGGACCAGGUGGCAUGCCUACUGGCUACAACCGGUAUCUUCCACCAUGGCCUCUCUGUACGGUGUGUGCCAAGACAAGGGUUAACAACUUACUGAACCAUACCCCACCUACGGUAGGGACCAGUGGCAGUACGAAACAAGUAUGGGGGUUACCGGAACAAGACUCGAUCUAUGGCCGACUCAGGAGGCUUAUGAGUUCCCUGCAUGACAUGUAUAUCAAAUAUAUUUCAACCGACGAAAUCACCACCCAUUAUACCUUACUAUGCCAUACCGGACAUAACUGUCCCGACGGGGACCGGCGACAAGCUCACUCCUACCCAAGGCAGAGGCUUUCCCGGAUUCCUUUUCGGCAUGCAUGCAAGGCACAUGAGGAUGAUUACCAUCACAAGUAUAUUCAUUCCCAACAGCAAGGAAAAUCACUAAUAUGCAUUCAUGCAAAUGAUCGUAUCACCACAUAAAAUAACGAGUUCUCCGAAAUGAGGUGGUGUUAUAAACGUGUCAACCAACACAUCAAAAAUAUUCUUGCCAGGGUUCAAGAUGCUUGCCUUCAUGGUGUAGAAAGGCAGGGUGCACUCCAAAUCUUUUGAAAGCUUUCUUCUCUUCCAAAAAUCCUAUUUUCAAAAAUAUGCAAAUAACACAUACUUCAAAAACAGUACAAAAAAAUUGUUUGGAAAAUUUUCAAAUAAAUCUUAAAAUAAACUAGACAGAAUUUGAGAGAUGUAGGAAAAAGAAUUAAUUCAUUUGGAGUUAUAUUUAAAAAGAUAUAACCAGUCAAAGUUCUGGUCAAAAUCUGUUUUUAAAAAUAAAACAAAAAGAAAACGUUUCAGCCACGAAUACGCUUUCUAAGUAGGGGUUACGUACUUGGGGUUUUACGCUUUCACUUAACACGCGUGGCGGCGGGAUGGGUCACUGACAGUGGGUCCAAGGGGCCCACUGGUCAGGUUUGACUAGUCCUCUCCCUCCUCUUCCUCUGUCCCGAGCGGAGGCGGAACUCGGGCGAUCGUCACCGGCGAUUGGCGGCUCCUCGCGGGGCCCCGAGGGCGGGGAUGGAUCCGCCACUCCAGGGCGGUCCUCCCGGUGGUCGUCAGGCAGGAAGGGACGGAGGGAGCUGCCGGCGGCAAGCUUCGCGGCGGAGGAGGUUUCGGGGGCAAAGUGAAUUUUCGCCUGCGGCGAGUCCCGAGCAAAAUUGAGUGGGGGUUUGGACUCAUGAGAGGGAGAGGGAGUUCCUGGUGAAGAGAGUGGAGAGAAGGAGGCUCUGGUGGCGCCGGAAUGGCCGGGGCAGUGGCGGCGGCUGCAGUCGUCGGAGGUGGGGAAGAAGACCUCCCCGGGUCGAUUGGCUGCCAUGGAAGAACUAGGGGAGCAUGCUGAGGCUGCCUCGCGAACGGAACGUGCUCGGGGGCCUCUCUUUAUAGUGUGACGAGGUCGGUUUGCGGCGGCCGUGGAUAAGUUUGCCGGCGAACCGCCUCCCUGUAGCGGCAGGGUUUCAUGGCGGCGACGAGAGCUAGAGGACACGCGAGAGGAUGAGGCUGAGCUGUUCCAGGGGCAGGUGGCGAGCAGCUGGGGCUUGGGCGACACCGACCUGGCAGUAACGCGCUACGGACGCCGGCUAGCUGCCAAGGGCUCUGACAGCGGUGGUGCAGGGCACCAGGGCUGCUUGGCGGGUUGCGGAGAGAGGGAGAGUGCGUGGCGCGGCUCUGUGGUGUGGGCAAAACCAGGGGCGCGACGUGGCGACUCGGGCGCGGCACGUGCAAAACGCGCGCUCUGCUCGCGCCCAGAGCACGCACGGUACGUGCUCGACGGAAUGCCACUGCAUGCCAGAGGGCUCCAAACUACAAGAGGGUUAGCAGGGUGUGGCCAUAGGCUAGGGCAAAACCAUUGGACAUGCUGGUUUGGUCAGGUGGCCAAGUUCACAGUGCAAACGAAAACUCAUGUCAAAACAGAUCAUGCCCAUAAGGUGUUUGACAAAAUGCCAGAGGCAUCUAGGCAGUUUUUGGAGGGGCCAAAAUCUCCAGAUAGAAGUCUCUUUGGAUGCACAAGAGGGUGGUGAGGUUAGUUGGUGGAAAGCACAAACUUGCUAGUGCAAGUUUUGCAGAACUUCAAAUCUGGGCAGGAUGUGAAUGGCGUUAUUUCAUGAACCAAAAAUAUGCCAAUGGUUGCAUGCUCCUGGACUUAGGAGUUUGGUAGGGCUGUCUACAAGUAGGAGAAAACACAAGAUCAUUGGAGCAAAAUUAAAUAGGGUUGUAGUAGAAAUCACAAGGCUGGACCAGAAUGAAAAUGAGGUUGAUUCACUCAAAUUUUUCAAAGAACAACACUAGGUUUUUGCAUAAUGUUGAAUCAUAUGCUACUAUCAACAUCCCAUAAUUUUGGUGGAGGCUAGAAAGAAAUAUUUAAAUGAGUUGUAGUGCAAAAUUGCACUCUGGACCAUAGAAGAAAAUUGGGUGUAGAGCUUAAAUUAUUACAAGAAUAAAAGAUAUUUUUGCAUAAAAGUGAUUUAAAAACAUCACAUGACAUCUCCAAAUUUUGGUUGGAAUUAUGAAAGAGUUUAUCAAAUGGUUGCAGUUUAAAAUAUGGCCAUAUAACCUUGAAAAACCAUUUUUCAAGAAAAUAAAGAUCAAGCAAAUUAAUUAUGUAAUUAGUUCUACUAAUAAAAGAAAAGUUUUUCUUGAGAGGUUAAACAAGUCCAAAAACAUAUUUUAAAAGUUUUCACUUUGGGGAAAAACUCCAUAAUAACAAGGGAGAAAAAGGUUCAAAAAUAAAAAAGGGAGCCCAGAAAAUAAAAGUUAUAAUUUCCUGGCAAAAUUUUAAUUAAUAAAACAAGGCCAAAAAUUUGGGGUGUCACAACACUACCCCCCUUAAGAAAAAUCUCGUCCUCGAGAUUUGAUAAGGGUUGUUUUUUUUGAAAAUAUCUUCCCUGUUAGUUGGAAUCAAAAAGCUUACUCAUAGCACAAACUUUGUGUGGCCGGGGUUGGUUUUUGGUACGCUCGGAGUAAAAUGCAACCGUUCACCGACGUACUCAAGCAUGGUUAUAAUUAAAAAUCGGGGCGCUCAAGUAAACAACAUUCAAUCAUGGAGACACACAAUUACAGGGCGUGGCCGUACUAAGGCUCGGUACUAAUCGAGUAAAUUAGUCUACCUCGUUCAUAUCCAAGCGGGCGUGCCUUGUGGAUGUCGAGGCUUCUCUUCGGGUCUCACUGUCGGGAUUAGCUGGAGUGGGUUGAGGGGCUGCAGGCUCGGGGUAGCGAUGAUGACCAUCUCGGGGAUUGUUGGCCACAACCCCGUCGGAGUGUGUUCCCAAAAGGCGACGAAGCGCUUCUGGGGUCAUCAAAGCGCCUUGGUUGAUGGCUGGGGCUGACCUCAGGGUCUCGAUCGGUUGUCCGAACAGCACGAUUGGGUUGUCGGCGUCGGGCUCAUCUUCUCUUCCUACCGGGGCUCGGCGAAUCAGCUCUCCACGAGCCGCGAUCAGAUCAAGAGUGAUUUGAUCGAAAAGUCCUUCUAGUGCAUUUACAUAGCGCACCAGAUGCAACAAUGCAGAAUCUGUCUCGUGAUCUCCGUUGGCAACUUGGGGUGGUCUACCAUACCCUUCACGGUUGGGGUAGUAGUGGAAAGAGCGACAGUUAACUCUGGGCGAUAAGUGCCGGAGAUGAACUAUAGCCUCUCGAGCAGCUAGUUGAAUGGCUUGAGGCUCCAAGGAAGUUGUCCUUCCGGUGAACCUGUAGGGGCGCUCGGGCGCUAGACCCCUACCAUAGAUGUGCACAGUGGCCCAGAAUUGACGGCUCUCACCGCUCAUGGACCCUUGGUACACAACAUAUUCCGGGGCUCUUCUAACGCAUAGGCACGACGGGUGAGGUUUGCGAGUAUGGUCACAAAGCCUCCAAGGUUGGUUGCUGUGGUCUCAUUGUGCACGACGGGGCCAGGCAUUGUGGCUCGGUUUGGGUAGAGGUUGUGCAGUGUUGGGUUGAGGCUAGCGUGCCCUUUUAUAGAAAAGGGGACGGAGUCUUCCUUCGCACGCUUGCGAAAAGACUAUUCAGGAUUCGGUCACUGGUGCAUGAGCGACAGGUUGGGUUGAUAGGUUGGGCACCGACUGCCAAAAGGUGUCGGGUCACGGUGUGGCUAUCUUGCAAGGGAAGCUUGACUGGGGUUUGGCUGAGGUCUGGUGGGUUGGUUUACCUAAGUUUAUUGACCUGGCUAAGUUAGGAUUAGCCAAUGGUUAGCCUGGCUCUGAUACCAAGUCUGUCGCGACCGGUUUUCCGGGCUCUAAUUUCCAAAAAGGGCCGUUGUGCUCACCAGCCCCAGGAUUAUUGUUAGCUGAUGAGGCACCGACUUGUUACAGAAAUUCCAAGCAAAAGUGCAAAAUAUGUAGUACAAGACCAUUGUGGCCUAUGAGUACAUCAAAUGGUUUCUAGUGGUUGAGGGCGGAAGCGGUUUGUGGAUCACCACGGUCUAUGGGACUCCAUUUCCCACAGGAACAGCUGACCAGGUUAACUCCUAUCUUCGCGAGGCUUCUAUCACCGUUGCUUAGGUCCCGAGGCUGUCAUCGCCACGCUCCUCUCCAAGCAAGCAAUCUGGCCAAGACAAUAGCCAGGGACAAGCCAGUGAGUACUUUGAAUGUACUCGCAAACAUUAAGAACACAGGUAUAAUAUAAUUGAUCAACAUACACUGAAAUAUUCUAUGAUCACAUCGUCAGUCAUAAAUAAAAUCUUGAUGCAUGCAAGCAGGUUAUUUAUAUGCAACCGGAAUAUGCAAUGACAGAAUAGAAAUAAAAUGCACCGAUCGGAUGCCUGAAACGACGUCUCGAAAGGAUAGUAAAAGUGAGCAUGCCUCAGUCGGGCGUCUUAGCGACACCACGUAAGGGGCUUAUAAAGUAAAUAAAAUAACAAGCAUGCCACAGUCAGGCGUCUGAGCGACACCACAUAAAGGGCUUAUAAGAAAAUGAAAUAACAAACAUGCCUCAGUCGGGUGUCUGAGCGACGCCACAUAAAGGGCUUAUGAGAAAAUGGAAUAACAAACAUGCCACAGUCGGGCGUCUAAGCGACGCCACAUAAAGGGCUUAUAUGAAAAUGAAAUAACGAACAUGCCACAGUCGGGCGUCUGAGCGACGCCGCAUAAAGGGCUUAUAUGAAAAUGAAAUAACGAACAUGCCACAGUCGGGCGUCUGAGCGACGCCGCAUAAAGGGCUUAUAAUCAUAGUGAAUAUCCAGGAGGUGGUACCAUCCCAGGGAUAUUCAUUAUUUCAAACAAUGCAAACGGUUAGUCCAUAAUGAUAACAAUCAUAACCAUCAUAUAUCACAUGUCAUCAUCAAUAUUCGAGUUUAGUGUUUUCUCCUCCGAAGACCGACACUAAGACCGAACUUGACCCAUCCCAUACUGUAAUCCUUAACCAUGGACACGGCUAUUCGAAUAGGUUUAAUAUCUCUGCAGAGAGUGUACUCUUUACCCACGAGUAACGGAUUCCUUUAGUCCAUCGGACUAAUUCCGUCUACGGUCUUUUAAUUGAAACACACCUGACUUGCACACACCAGCUUUUACUCGUGUUUGGAAUCACCCAUGACACAUGUUAAGCAAAACUCUAAGUGGGGAGGCUACAACCUCGCGUAGCAUGGGAUCAAAUUUCUAUCGCGCGCUCUAAGGGGUGCCCCCCUCUCGGUCCCAACCGUAUACACCCAUGCCCCCGGACCAGGUGGCAUGCCUACUGGCUACAACCGGUAUCUUCCACCAUGGCCUCUCUGUACGGUGUGUGCCAAGACAAGGGUUAACAACUUACUGAACCAUACCCCACCUACGAUAGGGACCAGUGGCAGUACGAAACAAGUAUGGGGGUUACCGGAACAAGACUCGAUCUAUGGCCGACUCAGGAGGCUUAUGAGUUCCCUGCAUGACAUGUAUAUCAAAUAUAUUUCAACCGACGAAAUCACCACCCAUUAUACCUUACUAUGCCAUACCGGACAUAACCGUCCCGACGGGGACCGGCGACAAGCUCACUCCUACCCAAGGCAGAGGCUUUCCCGGAUUCCUUUCCGGCAUGCAUGCAAGGCACAUGAGGAUGAUUACCAUCACAAGUAUAUUCAUUCCCAACAGCAAGGAAAAUCACUAAUAUGCAUUCAUGCAAAUGAUCGUACCACAUAAAAUAACGAGUUCUCCGAAAUGAGGUGGUGUUAUAAACGUGUCAACCAACACAUCAAAAAUAUUCUUGCCAGGGUUCAAGAUGCUUGCCUUCAUGGUGUAGAAAGGCAGGGUGCACUCCAAAUCUUUUGAAAGCUUUCUUCUCUUCCAAAAAUCCUAUUUUCAAAAAUAUGCAAAUAACACAUACUUCAAAAACAGUACAAAAAAAUUGUUUGGAAAAUUUUCAAAUAAAUCUUAAAAUAAACUAGACAGAAUUUGAGAGAUGUAGGAAAAAGAAUUAAUUCAUUUGGAGUUAUAUUUAAAAAGAUAUAACCAGUCAAAGUUCUGGUCAAAAUCUGUUUUUAAAAAUAAAACAAAAAGAAAACGUUUCAGCCACGAAUACGCUUUCUAAGUAGGGGUUACGUACUUGGGGUUUUACGCUUUCACUUAACACGCGUGGCGGCGGGGUGGGUCACUGACAGUGGGUCCAAGGGGCCCACUGGUCAGGUUUGACUAGUCCUCUCCCUCCUCUUCCUCUGUCCCGAGCGGAGGCGGAACUCGGGCGAUCGUCGCCGGCGAUUGGCGGCUCCUCGCGGGGCCUCGAGGGCGGGGAUGGAUCCGCCACUCCAGGGCGGUCCUCCCGGUGGUCGUCAGGCAGGAGGGGACGGAGGGAGCUGCCGGCGGCAAGCUUCGCGGCGGAGGAGGUUUCGGGGGCAAAGUGAAUUUUCGCCUGCGGCGAGUCCCGAGCAAAAUUGAGUGGGGGUUUGGACUCAUGAGAGGGAGAGGGAGUUCCUGGUGAAGAGAGUGGAGAGAAGGAGGCUCUGGUGGCGCCGGAAUGGCCGGGGCAGUGGCGGCGGCUGCAGUCGUCGGAGGUGGGGAAGAAGACCUCCCCGGGUCGAUUGGCUGCCAUGGAAGAACUAGGGGAGCAUGCUGAGGCUGCCUCGAGAAUGGAACGUGCUCGGGGGCCUCUCUUUAUAGUGUGACGAGGUCGGUUUGCGGCGGCCGUGGAUAAGUUUGCCGGCGAACCGCCUCCCUGUAGCGGCAGGGUUCCGUGGCGGCGACGAGAGCUAGAGGACACGCGAGAGGAUGAGGCUGAGUUGUUCCAGGGGCAGGUGGCGAGCAGCUGGGGCUUGGGAGGCACCGGCCUGGCAGUAACGCGCUACGGACGCCGGCGUGCUGCCAAGGGCUCUGACGGCGGUGCUGCAGGGCACCAGAGCUGCUUGGCGUGUUGCGGAGAGAGGGAGAGUGCGUGGCGCGGCUCUGUGGUGUGGGAAAAACCAGGGGCGCGACGUGGCGACUCGGGCGCGGCACGUGCAAAAUGCGCGCUCUGCUCGCGCCCAGAGCACGCACGGUACGUGCUCGACGGAAUGCCACUGCAUGCCAGAGGGCUCCAAACUACAAGAGGGUUAGCAGGGUGUGGCCAUAGGCUAGGGCAAAACCAUUGGACAUGCUGGUUUGGUCAGGUGGCCAAGUUCACAGUGCAAACAAAAACUCAUGUCAAAACAGAUAAUGCCCAUAAGGUGUUUGACAAAAUGCCAGAGGCAUCUAGGCAGUUUUUGGAGGGGCCAAAAUCUCCAGAUAGAAGUCUCUUUGGAUGCACAAGAGGGUGGUGAGGUUAGUUGGUGGAAAGCACAAACUUGCUAGUGCAAGUUUUGCAGAACUUCAAAUCUGGGCAGGAUGUGAAUGGCGUUAUUUCAUGAACCAAAAAUAUGCCAAUGGUUGCAUGCUCCUGGGCUUAGGAGUUUGGUAGGGCUGUCUACAAGUAGGAGAAAACACAAGAUCAUUGGAGCAAAAUUAAAUAGGGUUGUAGUAAAAAUCACAAGGCUGGACCAGAAUGAAAAUGAGGUUGAUUCACUCAAAUUUUUCAAAGAACAACACUAGGUUUUUGCAUAAUGUUGAAUCAUAUGCUACUAUCAACAUCCCAUAAUUUUGGUGGAGGCUAGAAAGAAAUAUUUAAAUGAGUUGUAGUGCAAAAUUGCACUCUGGACCAGAGAAGAAAAUUGGGUGUAGAGCUUAAAUUAUUACAAGAAUAAAAGAUAUUUUUGCAUAAAAGUGAUUUAAAAACAUCACAUGACAUCUCCAAAUUUUAGUUGGAAUUAUGAAAGAGUUUAUCAAAUGGUUGCAAUUUAAAAUAUGGCCAUAUAACCUUGAAAAACCAUUUUUCAAGAAAAUAAAGAUCAAGCAAAUUAAUUAUGUAAUUAGUUCUACUAAUAAAAGAAAAGUUUUUUUGAGAGGUUAAACAAGUCCAAAAACAUAUUUUAAAAGUUUUCACUUUGGGGAAAAACUCCAUAAUAACAAGGGAGAAAAAGGUUCAAAAAUAAAAAGGGAGCCGAGAAAAUAAAAGUUUUAAUUUCCUGGCAAAAUUUUAAUUAAUAAAACAAGGCCAAAAAUUUGGGGUGUCACAAUAACGGCGCUCGCGAGCAUAGCCGCCGUCGGCGACAAAGAGCGGAACUUUCGCUCGGCAGCUCCCCCAUGCCACCACGAGGUCUUCAGGGCAAGCGCGAGGCGCUCCGUACUCCAGAUCCGUAUUGGGGCGCCGCCACUGUCAGGGACUGUAAACGCGCCCGAGCCACCUGUUGCUCCACCUCUCGCCGCCCACACGACCAAAAGGGAAGGCCAUCACCGCCACCAUGGCGCCCGCCGGAGAGCCAACCAUGUGGACCCCUUCCGGGGUCGCCACCCCAGCAUCCAUGUCCGAGCAACCACCAACCACCCACGUCACGGCACACCCACCACGGUAGGAGGAGUAAAAGGUGUUUCCUUUCACUCCUAGCCAGGCAUUAGCCACAGGGUCUGGGUCAACACGUCCACAGUAGGAGGCAUCCACACCUGCAUCUCCCGCCGGUCCCGGUGGACCGGGGGGAACACAACCCCGUGACUACCGACGGCCAUCGCCGAGCAUGCUCACACGACGCCAUGUCCGUAGCCUUGCCGCCGAUUUGCCCGACAGUGUAGCGAGGCCCCGACCACCACCAACGCCCAUUGUACCCGCGGGGAGAGAGACUCAAUGCCCACAGGCACCACCCGGACCGAGCCCAAUCACACCUACACGGAGCGUGAAUUCUGACUCGCCUCGGGUAACGUCCAGGUCCACCCGAGCACGAGCCCCGACUCACAGCCACACCGUCGGCAUAGAGGCAAGGGAAGGAGGAUCGCUACCACCAACCAGCGCCGCCGGCGAGGACCCGACACCCAGCUCCAAGCGCCGCCUCCACGCCGGCCCGCACCACCCGCGCCCUGGACAGAGCCACACCAGCAACAGCACGCAGCCGAGCAACCCCGCCAUAGCACGCCCCCACUCCCGAGCCACCACUAGCAGCCGACUACCGGCGAUGGCCGGCCCGCGCCGCCUGCGGGUAGCAGGCCGGAGGAGCCACCCGCAUCAGAUCUGGAUCGGGAGGACACCUCCACCACCCGCACAGUCACGCACCUCCAAUCCUGGCGCGCAGCCACCUGCGCCUCCGCACGGACCAGAGGACCACCGCCUGGACGCCCCAGCCGCAGCCGCGCCGCGACGCCCUGCAGAGCUUCGCGUUCUCGACCGGAGCCGCCGUCCCAUGCCAGCACACCCCGCGAAGAAGGGAAAGGGGCCCCGCCGCCACCGACGCCGGCCGGGCUUUGCCCGGCGGCGCGUUCCGGCGGCGGCGAGAGGGGGGAGGAGGGUUGGAGGAGUCCUCUGCUGGCGGUAGAAUUGGCCUGCCCCGGUCGCCCGUGGAAGCGACGUGGGUGCAGGGCGGGGAACGUGAUUCCAUCCUGGUGGACUCGAUCUAAACAUACGUGAUGAGUGUUUUUGACCUACCUGCAUCAUUUAUGAUUAUCUAAACAGACUGAUGAGGCAAUGUUGAUAGGGUGUGGAGAAGGGUAAAAGAAAAAUGGCUUGGUUGAAUUGGGAUAAAAUGGUGCGACCUAAAUCAAAGGGUGGUAUGGGUUUUAGGGGUAUGUGUGCCUUCAACCAAGCGUUGUUAGCCAAGCAAGCUUGGUGUCUGAUUGAUGCUCCUAAAAGUUUGUGUGCUCGCCUGCGAGCCAAAUAUUAUCGCAAUGGGAAUUUAUUGGGCAUUGUUUUCACUGGCAACACGUCAGUAGAAUGGAAGGGAAUCGAGCAUGGGCUAGCCCUAGCAACACAUGGAGUUAUCUGUAGGGUUGGAAGCGAUGCCUCGAUCGGGAAUUGGCUGGAUCCUUGGAUUCUGCGAGGACCCGUGUUCCGGCCUGUCACACCGAAGAGGAAUUGCAGAUUUUUUGGGUGGUAAUGGUUCUUGGAAUUCUCAGGCUAUGGAUGUUGUGGAAAUUUUGAAAAUUCGCACUUCACCCCGACAACACCAAGACUUCAUUGCUUGGCAAUUGGAGCAGAGUGGCAAGUUAUAGUCCGGAGUGCUUAUCGGUUGGCGACUAGAGAACAUGAUGAAGCCUUUGUUGUGGUGCUAUCAGUAGUCAUCCUGAUGGCGAACCCCUAGUGGAGUUUGAUUUGGAAGGCUUCUGUUUCGCAAAAGAUGAAAUUAUGAUGUGGAAAGUUGCGACUAGGGCUAGUGACCAAUCAUGGCAAGGUUGUACAUCAUUUAGCCACGACAGCCACAUGCCCGGUUUGUGGCAAGGAGGACGAAGCAAGCUUUCAUGCACUUGUUACUUGCAGCCAUGUUGUGAACCUAUGAAGCCAUAUGAGAGUCAUUUGGCCCCUUCCUGAGAGGAGUACCUUGGUGAUAUUGCGGUUGAUUGGCUGCUACAUGUACUUGCGAGAUGCUCUGAAAGAUCGCGAGAUACAGUGAUUAUGCUUGUUUGGCGCAUUUGGCAAGUUACGAUCGAACGUCACAUGGGAAGGAGGCCACCAUGGUGGAAGCUUCGGUCGUUUCUUGGUCGGUUAUAUGUAAUCGAUUUGCAAUGCUUGCAAACAAGGAAAUUCAUGUGUACGAGACAUGGAACGAGGUGAAGCAAAAACCUGNNNNNNNNNNNNNNNNNNNNNNNNNNNNNNNNNNNNNNNNNNNNNNNNNNNNNNNNNNNNNNNNNNNNNNNNNNNNNNNNNNNNNNNNNNNNNNNNNNNNNNNNNNNNNNNNNNNNNNNNNNNNNNNNNNNNNNNNNNNNNNNNNNNNNNNNNNNNNNNNNNNNNNNNNNNNNNNNNNNNNNNNNNNNNNNNNNNNNNNNNNNNNNNNNNNNNNNNNNNNNNNNNNNNNNNNNNNNNNNNNNNNNNNNNNNNNNNNNNNNNNNNNNNNNNNNNNNNNNNNNNNNNNNNNNNNNNNNNNNNNNNNNNNNNNNNNNNNNNNNNNACCUUGGGCACUACCACCGGCAGACAAUGCUGCCAUCUCUGUGGAUGGAUCAUUUCUGGUAGCAGACGGUACGUUAGGGGCAGGUAUGAUUCUGAGAAGACAUCACAGAAGCGUCAUUUUCGCAGCAUACCGAUACUUUGUCAUUUUUAGAGCAUAUCAAUACUUUGUUUCAUUGCAAUGAUGUGUUGGAGGCAGAGACACGUGCGCCCAUGCAAGGUAUGACUCUUGCCAUACAGCAUACUGACCUUCACUGGUGGUCCAAUUGGAUUCGUCUAUUGCUUUGUCCAUUUUCACUAGUGAUGGCCUAGACUGCUCGGUCUAUGGUUAUCUUGUAGCUGAGAUCAAGACACUUAUGAAAGACUGGAAGUUAUAAAAUAGAGUUGAAGAUCGUCUGACAUAUUAUAGACUAAUUGAGUGUAGAAGUGAUGUGUGACUACACAAAGACGCACCUUGUAUUAAGAAGCUUACAAAAUAAGAGUUGGAGAUUGUCCGGCAUAUUAUAGCUAGCUGAGUGUAGCACUGAUAGUCACAUAGGUCCACCAUAUAUUGAAGAGCUAGUGCCUCUUGAAAUUAUUUUGGAAUAAAACUCUCAUAUUCCCACCCACAAAAAAGAUCACAGAAGAACUUUAUAAUUCCGCAUACGAGCAUUAUCGUGUAUUCAUCGUACUUCUGUUUGGAACACAAAGUUGCUUCUAGUCUGAACACAAAGUUGCUUCUAGUCUAGUACUAGAAGCUACAGCACGAGAGAUAUUCCCCUCAUAAUGGUAGGAGAAAUUUGAUGACUACAAAGUGAAGAUCCACGAGCCUGAGUUGAUGGCGCCGAUCAUCACUUCCACAGAAAAUCAUGCGACUCACAGAUCUAGCAAGAAGCACUUAUUACUCGUUUACGGUACAAAUAUCCAUAUGAGUGGCGUAUGCCAUGGUUACCAGGAAGGAGGUUACAAAGAACAUAUGAGAACAAACUUCGUUCUGCCUUUGGACAUCAAGCGAUCAUAUCUGUACUUCACAACAUCAGUAACUCACGAGCUGGCAUGCCAUCCCAUCCCGUCUUCCUAGACACCCAGAGAAUACAGACACAACAAUCCGGCAAAGGAUGGACAGGCAGCAGAAGGAGUUCAGGCAUAGGCCACGCAACCAGGGGACAUGAAAGC